rnacentral:lncRNA from 1 species
UGUAAUUGUCAUCUAACAGUAUGUUUGCCAACUUGAUGUCUCGGUGAAUGAUUGGAAUGGAAGCUGCAGAGUGCAAAUAAGAAAGGGCUUCUGCUGUUUCAGUGGCUAUUCUCAAACGGGUCUCCCAUGAAAGAUAAGAUGUAGCAUCAUCAUUAUGCAAAUGGUGAAAAAGGGUUCUGUUGGUGAUAUAUUCAUAAACUAACAGCGGAACUUGUGUCUCCAAACAACAUCCUAGGAGUUUGACAACAUUCCUAUGGUUGAUUUUGUAGAGCACCAUUAUUUCAUUAAUGAAUUGUUCAACUUGGCUAGGAUCUCCAAUUAUUGACUUUUUGAUGGCAACAAUUUGAUUAUCAGCCAAUAUUCCCUUGUACACUGUCCCUUGCCCUCCCUGUCCUAAAAUUCUGCUUUCAUUGUAAUUGUUUGUUGCCUUCUCGAGUUCCUCAGCUGUAAAUACUUUAACAUCUUCACGGUACCCUUGUCGUUUUGAAAGUUGUUCCCGUAACAAAAUGCCACCAUUUUGCUGAAAGUUAGCUUCUCUUAAUUUGGAAAUUUGCCUUUGCCUCAGCAUCCAACAGCACAAUACUAUCCCCAAGAGAAGACCAAGAAACCCAAUGGCAACCCCUAAGGUCAAAGCAUAAAAUAAUAAUAAUAGUUACAUUAGCCAUGGUAAUGUAAUCUAAAAGUGAAAAGUCAUGCAAAAUUGUAUAUUGAGAGUAAUAAAUAACAAAAUUGUUUGUGUCAAGCAGAUCCAAUUGACUCAAGAUUGAGUUGGGUAAGUUAAGGAUGAGUCCUGCUUGUAAAUCUAGUUCCACUUGUUUACAAAUUACUUCAUAAAAAUAUAAUCGAAAUUAUUGUUAGAUAUAAAAAAUAAUUAUUCCAUAAUGGAAAAUUGUGGUUAAAGAUGAACAUGGACUCACCCCAAGGCUGCAGAGAAGUUUAUUGAUUUUUUUAAGGAUAAAUCUCAAAAUUAUACAUGAAUUAUGGUUUAUUGUGUAAUUGUAUACAUGAAAUUUUGAUUUGAUCCAUUUUUUUGUAAUUUAUUAAUAUAAUUAUUGAUAUAACAUCAUUUCAUGAUUAUGUAUUGUAUACAUAAAUAGUUGUAUUUAUUCAAUAUAAAAAUAAAUUGAUGUAUUUAUUUUUUUAAAUGCGUAUGAUUAAAUCAAAAUUAAAGUUUCAAAUAUACAUUUGAACCACAAUUAGAGUUUCAUGUGUACAAUUGCACAUUAAACCAAAGUUCAUGUAUAAUUUUGAGAUUUAUCUCUUUUUUAUUUUAAUUAUUUAUAUUUUAAAUAAUUUAACCGGAGUAAGAGAACAAGUUGGAUAUGGAUGAGUGUAUAAUAAUUUCAUGUCUUUAAAAAUUGAUAACGAGCCAAAAUUUUAUUGAUGCUUAAAAUCUUUAACUUCAUUUAAUUUUUGAAAAUAUUUUCUAUUUUUUUAAAAAUUAAAAAACAUGUUUGAUAAAGAGGAAUAAAAUUUUGUUUUCAAUAAUGAAAACAGGAUUGGUAAUUAUUUUUCUAUAAAGAAAUAUGAAAAUUGAAAAAAAAAUAAUGAAAACCAAAUUUUUCUAUUUUUAUUUACAAAGUCUUUUUAGUACAAAUAAUGAAAACAAAAUUUUAUUAUUUUUCUAAUUUUUACAUAUUUUCAUAAUUUUUUAAAAAUUAUUUUCAAAAAUUAGAACUAAACACAAUUUCUUGAAUGUUUUUCAUUUUUCAAGGAAAUGAAAUUGGAAUUUACUCCCUGAAACCAAACGGAGUAUUUUAAUGUAUAAUUCGGGGUUACUAACCUAGAGCAACAAUAAGAGGAGAUGUCUUGGACUGAUCCUUGUUGGGUAAACUGCAACCUGUUCCACUUUUCUUACCAUCGCCUUCAUAACCCAUCGGACAUGAACAAUUGUACGUCCCAGGUAAGUUGGUACAUAUUGCCGUUCCAUUGCAAGGGCUCAUACUUUCACACUCGUUUAUAUCUGAAAUUUGCAGAUUGUAUGCAAGUAAUAAAUAACACUAUCUUUAAUGUUAGAAACUACAAAUCUAUGGGGUAUAUAUACCUAUAGUUACCUUGACAUCCAUUAGGGAGGUAAGGGUUCCCCAUGUAACCCUCAAGACACUUGCACAAAUAUCCAGAGUUAUUUUCUGAAUCAACGCAUUUACUAUACUCUUUGCAUGCGAAAUUGUUUACAUCCAUAUUCGCUUCGUUGCAACUCGUAUUCCCGAUUUUCCAAUCAAGAGUGAUUGGAAACUGCCUUCUUUGAAACUCAAAACCACGAAGAUCUGAAGCAGAGAAGGUAUAAUUAUCGACCUCUGCAACAAAUGCAUAGCUGCAGGGGUUUUCGGGCAACACAUUGGUAUGGUUGGCGUAGCUUUUGAGACUUAUGUUGCAGCUCCUCACAUCCCUUGGGAUACUUGUCUGACAGCAACCAAUCCCAGAGCAAGACCCGUUUGAAACAUCAGCGAUGUUGUUACAGAACGACAAACAACCAGUUGCGUAACGUUGUCCGUAGGAAUCUUGCAGGACAGCAUAAGUGUCGCACCCGAUUGCAGUAAACUUGUUCUUGUUAUUGUUUAUUGAAAAUUCAGAAAAUCCGAAGUAGUAAAAUAACCCAUUCCCGUCUAAUGUGUUGUAACAAUCAUAGCUCGUAGGAGAAAGGAUGCGCAACUGACCAUCGGUAGAUAUGUUGAUGACUUCGACGUUACUGUUGCCUAAGAACGCUUUGUUGGGUUUAUUACUGGUGCUACAUGUGAUGAGAAAGUGUUCAGUGAUGUUGCAAUCGCCGCCGGUACCGAACGGGUAUGGGAUGAUAACAUCUCCGCAGCUUUCUCCGCAGCCAAGUUUUGCUACUGCUGGUGUUGAAGCUUUUACUGUCAAUAUAACAGUAAGCAAGAUCAUCAGCUGCAUAAGCACUAGUGAUCUGAUGGAACCCAUGGCUGUUUUUUUCUAGACUGGGGGAUACCAAUGCUUCAAUUUCCAAAUUCGGAAACAUAUAAAAAAGGUUAGGGAAGCCUGCUUGACCUUACUAAAUUCUAACAGGAGGGAGGACGUAAAGUGACCCAAUAGACGAGUGGGGAAUAUCAGUGUGGUCCGUUCUUUGGCUUUCGCUGUUGAAUAGCGCGUGGUGACUUUGGACUGUCCACAAUUUCUUGGAAUGGAUGAGAUGCUAACUUUGAUUCUGUCAAAUUAUAUUUAGUGCUUCCAUAUUUAGUGUCUGAUGGCUUUCUACGGCAGAUAUAAGCUUGUUCUCAAUGUUAGAUGAAAAAUCAUUUUGCAUUAAUUGUACAAGAUAAAUAAAUAUUGAAAAAUUAUUUGGUAAAGAAUUUUUAGAAUUCACGAGUUUCCAUAUGUGACAUAAAUAUUUAAGUAUUAGAAAAAAAAACACACAUGCGGAUUAAGCAUUGCUACUCCAAAAAAAUAUUAAGUGAUUAUUAAAAACAGAUAUUUAAUAUUAAUUUAAAAUUUAUUGAAAAGUCAUAUCUAUCAAAAUCAAGAUUGUGUAUGUUAAUGAUAAAUAUUUAAAAAGAAAAAAGAAAAUCAAAGCAACAUCAAGUUUUACUACUCCAGACAAAUAUGAAGUGAUAGAUGAAUGCAGUUACAACACAAUACUUUCACAUGGAUUAUAAAGUAAAGAUAUUAGAAUUUUUUAUGGAGUAAUGAUUUAUUACAAAUAAUAAAAGGGUUGACGUUUACUUAAAGCUGAUUGGUUAGUUUAACAAAAAAUUCUUGAAGUGGAUGUUAUCAACUCUUUUUCGCAUACUUUGAACUCAAAAACCAAGUAGGUAAGCGUGGUGGUCCAAGGCCAAGGCGAAGACAAAGAUUAACUACGAGUGAUUUUGAAAAUUUUUAAUGGUUAAAUGAUUAUUUAUGUAAUUUAUUUAAAUAUAUUCAUGUAUAUUUAAUAUAUAUGAAAAACUAAAUUAAUUUUUUAUUUAAUUUCAAUAUUUUAUAUUUUAUAUUAUUAAAAAUAUUUACAUAUUUUUAUGAAUGUAAUUAUAUCCAUCUUGCAUUUUUUCAUAUUAUUUUUCUUUUAUAAUUAUUUUUUAACUUAUUAAAUUUUAUUAACUUUAAUUUUUAAAAAUUAUUUUUCGAAACCAUACAAUUAAAAAUAGUAAAGGAUGUAUUUUAAGAUGGUAGCAUUUUUAAAGGCUUGAUAAAUUUAAAUUUUCAAAAUGUUUUAUCCACCCUAAAAGAUGAAAAGAGGAAGCAUAUGUAAUUCUAGUGGCCCAAAUCGAUGGAAAAGGAGACCAAGACGAAUGGGGAAAUGACUGAUGAGAUCAGAAAACCUAUCGAGUCACUUACCAAGUCUUUUCUUCUAGAUUUUUUUUUUCAUUUAAUUCAGUGAUAACUAUCUGAUAUUAGACAUUCAAUCCCCUUUGGUUUAUAUGCAAUUUGCUUUUAAAAUUAUUGUUUUCCUCUGCUUGCACAAGGAAUAUAUAUAACACUAAAUUAGCACAAUAAUAAAUAAAAUCAGUAAAAGAAGUGAAACACAUCUUUGUCUAGUGGAUUCCGUUCUCGUAAUUAAAUCUUAAUCUUUGAGAAAAUUAGAAGAUUGGUAAAAUAAACUUAAAUUAAGAUAAAAUAUGAAUAUAUAUCCAAAAUAAAGAUAUUUAAUUAGAAAAUAUGAAUCCGUAACUAUACAAUUCUUACAUUUAGACAUAGACAUCUAAAACUUGAUAGCAAACAUACAUGUACAAAGUUGUAAUAAGUGAAAAACUUAGGUCUUUUCACUUGGUUUUGCAUGCAAUACAAGUGGAUUUUAUGAUUUUUUUCCAUGAUAAUAUAAUAUAACAAAGUGAAGUUAAAAAUAAUUGAAAUGCGGAUAAAUUUGAUGUGAAAUGAUAAUAAAAUUAUAUAUUUUAAGUUAUCAAGGUUGACUAGGUUUUAAAUUAAGUGUUAUAUAUAUUAGCUGUAAGAUCUAACCUGAAUUCUUUAUUAAUUAAUUAUGAGAUGAAUAAAGAUGUCCUAUGUAAAUGAUAUUAAAUAAUUAAUCAAACAUAAAUCAAAUCAAAGUAAUUGGUAAAAAUAUUUUUGUUUAAGUUGAUUUGAUUUGAUUUGAAUGUUAUGUUUGAUGAUGAAUCAAUUAGUUUGAUCUUUAAAAAAUUGAGUUCCUGUAAGUAUGUUUACUUUUCUUUAAUAAAGAAAAUAAAAGUUAGAAAUAAAUAGUGAAAAAAAACUAAUCAAAUGAAGAUUUUUCAUUUUUAAAUAAAGAUGAGCUUCCAUCAAAAUACUUGGUGGAAAAUUUGUUAGGAAAUAAUAAUAGUAUGAAUGAACCACAAAAUUAAUUGCAUUCUCUUUUAUUAAAAAAUUUAUUAAAAAGUCCAAACUCCAAUCUUUAGAGUUCAAUUGUAAACUCAAAUGGAAUGAAUAAAGUACAACACAUUGAAUAGUCUUUGUUAACAUUCCAAUUGUCUUAAUCAUCACAACUGUACAUAUUGACUAACAAUCUUCAUCAUCACCAAGUAAUUACUCCAAAAUUUGUCGAAACUUAUAUUUAAAAUAUUCUUUAUCUUCCCUGUUUUAGACCCAUUCUAAGCAAUAAACUUCUUGGAAGUAAUCAUGGCUUGCAAAUGACCCUUAUAAUCAUGCAAAUUCUUAAAAGUAAUAGCAAAACGUUUCUCACUAGGACGACAAUCAACCCAAAGUCUAUUUGUGAUUAUACACAAAAAUUGUAAUAAAAGAAGCAUGCUAAACUAAACUUUUAAAAUGAGACGUUUUAUCAACAUCCUUCAAAAUUAAAUUGAUACAAGGUGUUGCGCAUGGUGACCAAAAGAUUUUAGGAUACUUCUCAUGACAAAAUUUCCUAACAACUUUAUAAUUUGCAGCAUUAUAUGUAAUUAGCUAGACCACAUUGCUCAAACCAACAAUUUUUACAAUCUUCGCAAAUAAAUUGCAAAGAGUAUUGACAUCUAAAAUCAUGUCUGAUGUGUUAACGAGUUUGGUAAAGCAUAAUCCUUUAGGAAAAUAGACUAGAAAAUUGGUUGAUGACUUUUGUUUCGUAUCUUUCUACCCACCUCCCAUUAUGGUGCAUCCACAUUCCACCCAAAUGCUGUAAAUCCCUUUUUGAGUAUUCUAGUAGAUUGGUUCACAAUGUAUGAUAUGAUAGAGUUUUGUAUCUCAAUCCCAUAGAUGCUAUGGCAUCAAGGCAUAGUUGAAACUUGUCAAUCUUUGAUUCUAUUUGUGGAGUCUAAAAGCUCCAUUGGCAAUAUACCUAAUAAAUUAUUUAUCUUUUUAAUAUUUUACUAUACCCCUAGAGAACACUUAUCAAUCUCCUGACAUUGUUUAUGGAGUCUAAAAAUUUUAUUGGUAAUAUACCAAAUAAUAUUCCAAAUAAAAAAGUAUUAACUUGACAGUGUACUUUUUUUAUUCCACAAGUAUUGUUAAAAAAUUGGCAUUGUCUUUUUUUUUAAUAUCUAUUUUUUAAAAAUUUCACUAUACUCCUACAAGACAUUUGUCCACCCCUAAUCAUGCUUAUGAAGUCUUAAAAUUCUACUAAGUGUAUCUUGUUAUAAAAUAAAGAGAGAUGGAGAGAAUAAAGAAUAAAGAAAAUAUGGAAGCAAUAGAGAAUGUACUUUAUUGAUCAAUUGGGGUGAUUACAAUGCUUCAUCAUAGUCUCUAUUUAUAGGUAUAAAAAAUAUAAAAGAAGUAGAGAUCUAAUUCUAAUAACUAUUAGAAUUAAAAGGACAUUAAAAUUUUAUCUUGAUCAUGAUGGACAUCCACUUAAUAAGGUGUUCAUAACACUCCCCUUGGAUGUCCAUUGGUAGAUAAUAUACCUCGUUAAAACCUUAUUAAGAAACCUUGUGGGAUAAAAACCUAAUGAAGGAAAAAGAGUACACGAUUUAUAAUACGCAUAAUAUGUUGCCUCAUUAAAAACCUUACCAGGAAAAUCCAAUUAGACAAAACAUCGGUUAAGGGAAAAAGAGUACAACAGGUAUUUACUCCCCCUCAUGAAAACAUCACAUACUUUCUCAUAUUUUACGUAUUCAAUCUUGAAUACUAGUUUUUCAAAUGACCAUUUGAAUGUAUUGCUUAGUAUUUAUAUCACCAUUCUUUCAAAAUUCAUGAGUGAGGGAAAUAUGGAAAUAUAUAUUUUGAUCUCUUUAGGAGAUUCAACAAUAAUCAUAAUAAACUUUAAUCAUGAUUCUUUUAUAAAAACACAAAUAGAUAUUUUGGAUCAUUUUAUAAUCCUCCUUCAACUACUAUUCACUAAGUCAAAUUUAACACAUAUAUUCAAAUUAUUUCAAUUCAUAUAAAUGAACAAUUUCUCGAGAAUUUUAAUAUGCUUCUACCAUACUAAAUCCUUCAUAUAAAGGUUGUAACAAUAACCAUUUAACGUAAGUUAAAUCUUGUAACACCCCUUACCCGAGACCGUUUCCGGAGUCGAGCAUGAGGCAUUACUUAGCUUAUCUCACUAUUUCGGAGCAUAAAAAUUUACUUUGAAAAUUAAUUUCACUAUUUAUAGCAAUCUAUCAAAUUGCGCAGCAGUUACUAAAUUAAUUAUAAAUCGAGCUACGGAGCUUGAAAUUUAACUCCGUAAAUUUUACCUAAAACUAGACUCAUAUAUAUACUUACCAUAAAAUUUAUAGAAUUUUUGGUUCAGCCAAUUAGUACAGUUUAUUAGUUAAAGUCUCCCCAGUUUCAUCACUCGACUGUCCUGACCUCUUGCCACUAAAAAUAAGUUUUCUCAUUGUAGGAUUUUCAUAUGGUGUUCUCACUUAUUUCUAAAGAAAAUAGACUCAAUAAGGAAUCUAUACAUAUAAAUUACAACUCAUAACUAAUUUUUUAAAAUUUAUAGUGAUUUUCUAAACUCAGAAUAGGGGACUCCAAAAACAGUUCUGACUCUGUCUCACCAAAAUUCACAUAUCUCAAAAUAUAAAAUUCUUUUUGAUAAACCGUUAUUUUCCCAUGAAAAUAGACUCAACAAGAUUUCAUUCUAUAUAUCAUACAUCCUCUAAUUCAUUUUAUACCAUCCUAGGUGAUUUUUCAAAUUCACGUCACUGUGCUGCCUGAAUUCUGUUUCUUUGCAAAAUUUUACCCUUUCACAAUUUUCAUGCAUAAUUUAUCACCUAGACUUUUAUAACAACAAACACCUUUAUACUUAACCAUUUUAAUAACCAUUCAUCAUCAAUUACUUAUAAAUCAUUCUUUAGCAAAAUCAUAAUUACAAACAUGCAAAAUAACUAAGUCCCUAUACAUGCCAUAACUCAAACGUGUUUCGUCAUAAAAUACCGAGUAGUUGUUCUUGAUAGUGUAGACGAUCUCCGACUGCUUUAGGAUCCCUGAAGCAGCUUUGCAAUACUAUAAGAGAAAGAAAAAUAAAAGAAGUAAGCAUUAAGCUUAGUAAGUUUACUAGCAAAUAAAUAACAACAUUUAACACAAAGGAUUAUACUCCAAUGUCAAGGUCUCUAAUUUACUCUUUAAUUAAUCUCAUUCUUAUUCUCAUUCUCUUGCUUGUUUACUUUAUUAACUCGUGAUCAUAACUUACACUUCCCUUGUUGAAACGUUGAGUAUCAAUUGAUAAUAUAAUAGUUCUUAACUCUCUUAACUUACCUGAGCUUGCCAUUUGUGCUUUUAAAUAAACUUUCAUUAACAUGAUUCGUUUACUGGCCCGUUGAACUACAUUGGAAUAAUAAGGAUACUUGGGUUUCUUCUAAUAAUAACAUGCCAAAGUCAUGUCCCAGACAUGGUCUUACAUGGGAUGUUCUCAUGUCAGUGCUCAUGCCAUGUCCCAGACAUGGUCUUACAGGGGACCUCUCAUCUCGGUGCCAACGCCAUGUCCCAGACAUGGUCUUACAUGGGACCUCUCGUCUCGGUGCCAACGCCAUGUCCCAAACAUGGUCUUACAUGGGACCUCUCAUGAUCUCAAGGAUGCCAAUGCCAUGUCUCAAACAUGGUCUUACAUGAGAUCUCUUUACCCAAAUGUCAUGACAUUCGUAUCCAGUACCAUCCUUAUGUAUCAACGGGACUUUUUAAUUUUAAUUCUCUAUCGUUUCAUGUUUGGAUCAUCAUUAAUAAAUUCAUGAAAUAAAUUCAUAGUUUCUGGUAAAUAACAAUAUUAAUAAUAAUUAUUGAAAUAUUUCAUUUAUUUACUAUAAACUUACCUCGGUGCCAAAUAUAGCCAAAUUCACCAACUUAGCCUUCAACUUUAUUCUUUCCUUUGUCUAACCUCGAUUUUCGUUCUUCUAGAUCUAAAAUAGCAAAUUUAACUCAUUUAAUACUCACAUUUAUCAAAACAGCCCUCGACUCUAACUUUGUCAAAAUUAUGAUUUUGCCCCUAAACUUUUACAUAAUUACAUUUUUGGCCCAAAGCUCAAAAAUUAAAAUUCAUCUCUUAUUCUUGUGUUUUAUAACAUUUUGAACAUUUUUCCCUUCUAUGACAACAUCAAAUUCUCACUCUAGCAUGUACUUAUGAACAUUAGGUAUUUUUACCGAUUAUGUCGUUUUACUCGUUUUCACUUAAAAUCGGCUAGCAAAAGUUGUUUAAAAUAUUUUCUAGCUUCAUAUUCUAUCAUAAAACAUCAAAAUAAACACUUUUCACCUAUGGGUAUUUUUCCAAAUAUAAACCCUAAGUUAAUUAUUGCUAGAAUAAGCUAAAUUAAGCUAUCGGGAUCUCAAAAACGUAAAAAACAUUAAAAACGGGGCUUGGGAUCACUUACUAUGGAGCUUGGAAGCUUGAAAACCCUAACUAUGACUUCUCCCUUGCUGAUUUCGUUCACCAUGGAGAAGAUGAGCACAUUUUGCCAUCUUUUUCCCUUUUUUAAUUCUUUUUAUUACUAAAUUACCAAAUUACCCCUAACUUAAAAAUUUCCUAUUUCACUUAUCUCAUGUCCAUUUUUGUCUACCAACUUAACCAAUGGUCUAAUUACCAUAUAAGGACCUCCCAUUUAAAGUUUCAUAACAAUUGGACACCUUUAACAUGUAGAAUUCAACUUUUGCACUUUUUACAAUUUAGUCCUAUUGCCUAAAUUGAGUGCCCAAACGUCAAAAUUUUCGAACGAAAUUUUCACAAAAUCAUUCCGUGAAAUCUUAGACCAUAAAAAUAUAAGAAAAAUAAAUUUUUUCUCAUCGGAUUUGUGGUCCCGAAACCACUGUUCCGACUAGGCCCAAAAUCGGGAUGUUACAAAUCUUUUAUGAAUGAUCAAUUUAAUAAUAUAUCUAAAGGUUAUUGCCUCCCCCACAAAAUAAUAUUAUAUCUUUUCAUAAUCAAUGUCAGGACUUAGUAAAAAAUUUCAUACUUUUAUUCCACUUUUGCAGAACUACUUCAAUUGAACCCUCACUAGCUUUAUACCUUUAGAUAUUUGGACUACUGGUCCAAAAACUCGAGGAAUUUAAUUGUACUUGAGUUACGUCUUUCUAUUUUGAUCAAUUUAUUCCAUAUCUAUAUUUCUCAAUAGAUUUAUUCAAGAUCUUCCUUUUAUCUCAUUAUUUUAAUAGUAAUAUUGUAUGCAAAUCAUUGUCGACCAAUUUUAUUAUUCGGUUCCACAUUUUCUCAAAUUGACAUAACUUAUCGAGAUCUCUUAUUUUCAUCAUUUUAAAAUUCAGUUUCAGGUACCUGAAUCUCUUUUAAAUUUUUACUUAUUAGUUAUGUAUUGGGUCUCUUCUAGAGUAGCCGCCUUCAUUAUAUGACUAUCUAGAAGAAUUUUCAUUUUGGAAUCGAUCAAUCUAUUAUUUGUUCUAACUGAUUGUCCUACUGGGACUUUGAUUCAAAUUAAAAUAUUUGAUGGUAUAUGACACUUGGUUGUUCUCAUUAUUCAAAUUAAAAUAAUAUCAAGAAAUGACAUUAUAAGCACAAUCAUUUCUGGUUAAUGAAAUGUAAGCAUAACUAAUUGGCUUUCUAAUUCCAGCUUGAGUUUAUCAUUUUACUUUGUAACUAAAUCUUUAAUUAAGCUUGUAAAUUGACGUGAUAUUAUGAGUUUUAUCAUUUCACUUUGUAGUUAAAUUUUUUUUAAAUGAGUUGAAAAUAAUAUUCCGACGACUGACCUUAUUCCAGUUAUAGCAACUGAUUUAUUUGGUUUACAAACUAAGUUUUUAGAUGUAUAUUUGAGGGAAAAUGGCCCCGAUAACAAUUUUUGUUCAUAAUAUCAUAGAGAAGUUAUUGAUGAAUUCAUUCCAGUGAAAAAAAAGUAAAAGUGGAAAAAAGAUUUGGUUUUGUCAGAUAUAGCAAUAUGACAGAUGCGAGAAGGGUUAUUAGUCGAUCAAACGACUAUGUGAUUUUAGGAAAUAGAUUAUUGGUGGACUUAGCCAAGUUUAAGGGGGGAUAUAGAUAUGGAAAAAAUCUUCAACGGAAGGAAAUGCAAAGCAGAGACAGAACGAAAAAAAAAAGGGAGUAGAACGAAAAGUUGCAAGAAUUUAGCAAAAUGGAAGUAGGAGAAAGUUCCUCGAGGAGUAAUAAUGAUCCGAAUAAGACAGAAAAAGAGGACGACAAGGUGAAGAAUACCAGCAUAGUGGUUCAAGGACAUGUUGAAGAGGAGCAACUUUAGAAGCUUCAUAGAUGUUUGGUGGGUACAACAGCAGCGUGUUGUGGUACGCAGAGUUUAUUUGAAAGAAUAGUUAGGAAUGGAUUAGGGGAAAUUAAAAUCAGAAGAAUUCAAGGAAGGUACUUUUUGAUUGAAAUAUCAGAUGAGGAAUUGUUUGAUGUAUUGAAGCAAAACGAUUGGGCGUACUUAAGAGAGUUCUUUAUCAACAUAUAACUUUGGUCGGGGACAAUAGUGGUAGAGGAAAGAGUGGCGUGGAUUGAAGCAUAUGGUAUCCCCCUACACUGUUGGAACUAUACAUCCUUCAAAAGAAUAGCAAGUGUAUGGGGCGAGUUAAUAUCCCUCAAAGAGAAUCUGGUAAUGGUUAACAGCUUGGAUAAAAUGUCAAUGUUGGUAUCCAUCAAGCAGCCGAAAAGAAUAAAUGAGACAAUCUAUUUAAAGGUGGGGAAGACUAAAUUUCCCAUAAGAGUCAUUGAAAUAGGAUUAUCAAAAUUUAAAGGCGAUAACAGAAAGGUCUAUGGCGUGAAAGAAAGAGAAGAGCAUGAAUUAGUAUAAGAAAUGGAUGACACUUUGUUGAAGUCAACCCCCAUGCAGCAGCCAAGGUGACCAUGCAAGGUGGCCAUGCAGGGAUCGUGCUUUAACAGCAAACCGAAACUGCAUUGUUUCAUUUGGUUACUCAAAUAAACAUUUUGUGUUCUAGUUCAUGUUAAACUAAGUAGGUAAAUGUUUUGAUAUUGAUUGACUGAAAAGUCAGCAAUGCAAGUUGUACAAGCUAAUCUUGUAAGUUUCAAUGCAAAUUAGUGGAGUUAGGUAGUUGAUUAGGUGAUUACUUGUUUGUUUUACUUGUUGACUGAUAUAUGUAAUGGCUUAAUGCCUUGUUGAUGUGUUAAUGAAAGAAAUCAGCUCAUUUUUCAUUCAAUCUUCUUCUCUCUUUUCUGUUUUUUCACUAGCUAGUUUCAUUUUUCUAUUUCUGCUUCCGAGUUUGCUUCUUCACCAAGGCUCGAGGCUUGCUAUUCAAGCAAGACACAAAACAGCUUGUUGCUGCCUCCUGCACCAACAAUUGGUAUCAAGAGCUCUUGUCUUAGUGGACCUGUUGCUUCAAAUCAAGGAACUUGAUGGCUUCUUCAGGAUUUUCACCUGCAGCCCCACCAGUCUUCAAUGGAGAAGGCUUUCACAUAUGGCUGGUCAAGAUGAAGACUUACCUACAGGCCUUCGAUCUGUGGGAAGUUGUUAACACAGAUGCUGAGCCAGCACCACUGAGGGCUAAUCCCACAGUAGCUCAGAUCAGACAACAUGCUGAUGAGAGGACCAAAAGGCACAAAGCCAUGUCCUGUAUUCAGAACUGUGUAUCAGAUGUCAUCUUUACCAGAAUUAUGGCCUGUGAGACUCCAAAACAGGCCUGGGACAAGCUUAAGGAGGAGUUUCAAGGUACUGAGAGAACAAGGCAACAACAGCUGUUGAACUUGAGAAGGGAUUUCGAGAAUUUGAAGAUGAAGGAAGAAGAAACAGUGAAGCAGUAUUCAGAUAGAAUUAUGGCAGUGGUUAACAGCAUAAGGCUCCUAGGUGAGCACUUUGAUAAGGCAAGAAUUGUGGAGAAAGUCCUCUCCACUUUGCCUGAGAGAUAUGAGGCCAAGAUAUCCUCCCUAGAGGACUCAAGAGACCUUGCUAGCAUCUCUUUGACUGAGUUAAUCAACACCUUCUAUACUCAGGAACAAAGGAGAGCUAGCAGAGCUGAAGAUCACCAAGAAGGUGCAUUUCAAGCCAAGGCCAGAGAAGCCUCGAGCACCAAUGCUCAAAGAGGCAAAAAGCCUUGGAAAAACAGGCCUAAGCCUGAUGCUGCAAGGAGCAAUGACCAGCCCUGCAGAUAUUGCAAGAAGCCUGGCCAUCCAGAAGACAGAUGCUGGUUUAGGCCAGAUGCAGUAUGCCAACACUGCAAGAAGAAGGGCCAUGUUGAAAGGGUCUGCAAAAACAGGAGUAAGCCAAGGCAGAAUCAAUUUCAGCAGUCAAAGGUUGAAGCUCGAGUAGCUGAGGACAGUAGUGACCAAGAAGAACAGGUCUUUGCUGUUUCCUGUUUAGCUGCUGAGAAGAAAUGCUCAAAAGGCUGGUUGCUGGACAGUGGUUGCACUAACCACAUGUCACCAGAUGCCUCUUUGUUUAAAACCUUGGACAGAAGUUAUAAAACCAAGGUCAAGGUUGGAAAUGGUCAGUUUAUAAGGGCUGAAGGAAGAGGAGAAGUGCUGAUAUGUACUCCCACAGGCAACAAGAUCAUUCCAAAUGUGCUGUUGGUGCCAGAGAUUGACAGAAACCUUCUCAGCAUAGCUCAACUGCUCGAGAAAGGUUAUUCUGUUGUGUUCAAGGACAAACAAUGCCACAUUGCUGAUCCAAGUGGAUCAAGCCUUAUGACAGUCACAAUGACUGAUAAAUGCUUUGAGGUUCACUGGGCAAAUGACUCAAACUCAGCAUACACAACUUCUGUUGAUGACUUCAAGCUUUGGCAUCAAAGGCUUGGACAUGCCAACUUUAGAUCAAUGGCUCGAUUGGCUAAAGAGGGCAUGGCAGAAAACUUCACCAGCUCAGUGGAGCAUGAUGAUGUGUGUGAAGUUUGCCAAAUGGGGAAACAGGCAAGACUGCCAUUUCCUACAAAUUCAGCUUGGAGAGCUACUGAAAGACUGCAGCUGGUGCACUCUGAUGUAUGUGGCCCGAUGAGGACUGAAUCACUCAGCAAAAACAGGUAUUUCAUCCUCUUUAUUGAUGACCUUACAAGGUUUUGCUGGAUUUUCUUUUUAAAACACAAGUCUGAGGUAGCUCAAGUGUUUGUGAAGUUUAAAAAUGCUGUAGAAACAGAAACAGGUUGCAAGCUGAAAUCGAUAAGGAUUGACAAUGGCACUGAGUACACUUCAGCUCAGUUUCAAGCCAUUUGCAAUGAUGCUGGUAUCAAACAUCAGCUUACAAAUUUCUACACACCUCAGCAGAAUGGGGUAGCUGAAAGAAAGAAUAGAAGUCUGAUGGAUAUGGCCAGAUGUCUUCUGUUUGAAAAGAAACUGCCCAAGACCAUGUGGGCUGAGGCAGUAAACACUGUUGUUUACCUUCAGAACAGGCUUCCUACUAAAGCUCUUGCAUCCGAGACACCUUUCGAGGCUUGGUUCAGUUUCAAGCCUUCCUUGGCACAUCUGAAGGUGUUUGGUUGCCUGUGUUAUGCACAAAUACCAGCAGCAAAGAGAGACAAGCUCUCCAAAAGGGCUCAACCAGGUGUUCUAGUAGGCUACAGCUCAGUCAAAAAGGGCUACAGGGUUCUGGAUCCCUUGACAAACAAAGUCCAAGUGAGCAGAGAUGUCAUCUUUGAUGAAAAAGCCUGCUGGAAUUGGGAGAAAAAUGAGCCAGAAAUAAUUUUAGAAGACCUAGUGCCUAAUCAAGCUGAACUUGAGCAGCUAGGACCUGAAAUGGAUGUUGAUGAUGUGCCUGUGAGAGGCACAAGGCUCCUAGAAGAUAUUUAUGAAAGGGCACAGGUUGCAAUAGCAGAACCUAGCAGUUUUGAAGAGGCUGAGGCAGAUGAAGGUUGGAAACAAGCUAUGGUUGAUGAAAUCAACAUGAUUGUAAAGAAUCAGACAUGGGAGUUGGUUGAAAAGCCUGCCAACAGAAAGACUAUCGGUGUAAAAUGGGUCUAUCGAGUGAAGCACAAUGCGGAUGGAAGUUUAAAUAAGCUAAAGGCCAGACUAGUUGUAAAGGGCUUCAGUCAAAGGUAUGGUCUGGACUACAUGGAAACAUUUGCUCCAGUAGCCAGACUCGAUACAAUCAGAUUACUGAUUGCAGUUGCUGCUCAGAACCAGUGGACAAUCCACCAAAUGGAUGUCAAGUCUGCAUUCCUCAAUGGAUUCCUAGAAGAGGAGAUAUACAUCGAGCAACCCCCAGGUUUUAUAAUGCCUGGUAAGGAACAUUUGGUGUAUAGGCUAAGAAAGGCCUUGUAUGGCCUAAAACAGGCCCCUCGAGCCUGGUAUGCUCGAAUUGACUCAUACUUGGUCAGUUUGGGAUUUGAAAGGAGUGCUAGUGAGCCAACACUCUAUGUUAAGAGGAAUGGAGCUGAAACACAGCUUAUUGUGUCACUAUAUGUUGAUGAUCUUCUAGUGACUGGAGGAGACAAGCUUGUGAUGGCUGAUUUCAAAGCAAAAAUGAAAGAAAUGUUCGAGAUGUCAGAUUUGGGGUUGAUGACUUAUUUCCUUGGAAUAGAGAUACAACAAGCUGAUCAAGGAAUCUUUUUGGGACAAAAGGCGUUUGCUUUGAAAGUUUUAUCCAAGUUUUCAAUGCAAAAUUGCAAGCCAACAUGCACACCUAUGGCAGUUGGCAUAAAACUAUCGAGCCAAGAAGAACACGAGCCUGUCAAUGAAUCAUUUUAUAGGAGCCUUGUUGGUUGUUUGCUGUAUUUAACAGCAACAAGACCUGACAUUCUGUUUGCUGUGAGCAUGCUAUCAAGGUUCAUGCACUGCUGUAACCAGCAACAUUACAAGGCUGGGAAAAGGGUGCUAAGAUACAUCAAAGGUACCUUAAACCAUGGAAUACAGUUUAGAAAGACUGAAGAGUUGAAACUGAUUGGCUACACUGAUAGCGAUUGGGCUGGUUCAAAGGAUGACAUGAAGAGCACUUCUGGCUAUGCUUUUACUCUUGGCUCAGUUAUGAUUUGUUGGAGCUCAAGAAAACAAACAAUGGUGGUUCAAUCGACAGUAGAAGCAGAGUAUGUAGCAGCUGCUAAUGCUGUUAAUCAAGCUAUGUGGCUGAGAAAAAUUUUGGGUGAUUUGAAUCUACAGCAGAAUGAUGCAACUGUGAUACAUUGUGACAACAAGUCAGCAGUUGCUAUUGCUAAAAACCCUAUCUUCCAUGGCAGGACAAAACAUUUCAACAUCAAACUCCAUGUGAUAAGAGAAAUGGAACAAGCUCGAGAGAUCAAGCUAAUUCAUUGCAGCUCAGAAGAUCAAAUCGCUGAUAUCUUCACAAAAUCACUUGGUGCAUCGAGAUUUGUAAACCUAAGGAAGCAACUAGGAGUCUGCUGCAUAGAAGCUGAGGAGGAGUGUUGAAGUCAACCCCCAUGCAGCAGCCAAGGUGACCAUGCAAGGUGGCCAUGCAGGGAUCGUGCUUUAAUAGCAAACCGAAACUGCAUUGUUUCAUUUGGUUACUCAAAUGAACAUUUUGUGUUCUAGUUCAUGUUAAACUAAGUAGGUAAAUGUUUUGAUAUUGAUUGACUGAAAAGUCAGCAAUGCAAGUUGUACAAGCUAAUCUUGUAAGUUUCAAUGCAAAUUAGUGGAGUUAGGUAGUUGAUUAGGUGAUUACUUGUUUGUUUUACUUGUUGACUGAUAUAUGUAAUGGCUUAAUGCCUUGUUGAUGUGUUAAUGAAAGAAAUCAACUCAUUUUUCAUUCAAUCUUCUUCUCUCUUUUCUAUUUUUUCACUAGCUAGUUUCAUUUUUCUGUUUCUGCUUCCGAGUUUGCUUCUUCACCAAGGCUCGAGGCUUGCUAUUCAAGCAAGACACAAAACAGCUUGUUGCUGCCUCCUGCACCAACACACUUUCGUGUCAGAAUCUGAAUCAACGAUGAUAUUAGGAUUGGAACAGAAUCCAGAAGAGAGACAAGGCUGGGAAAAUGAAGCAAUCAAUGCGAUUAUUCUCAAAAAAUCAAACGAUAAUUGCGACUGUCAGAACAUUUCUCAAAACGUGAUUAGGUUGGAAGAGAAAUUGAUCAGUGGAAUUAGGGUCGAAACUAGGGUGGGGGAAGGGUUAAAAACUAGUGCAACAAUCGGGCUAAGGAAUAUAUGAGUAAUAUGGGCUUCGCAAUAGAUUAAUUAGGAUUAGAAAAUAUGGAUAGGGUUUAAGAUAAGCAACAAAACAGUGAGGAGGGUAUGUGAUUGUUGAUGGAUAUGGGCUUACAACAAGUCAAUCCAAAUAAGUUAGAGGGGAAUAGAUUGCAACAAACAAAAUGAAAAAUCGAGUGAUUUGGGAAGGGAAGGAGUAGAUAGAGAAAAAAAGGGUUCAGUUGAAGAAUUUUAAAAAAAUUUUGAACAGAAGAAAAAAAAAGUAAUGGAAGAAAGAUUAGAUCGAUGUCUAAAAUUUAGAAUAGAAUUCUUUCAGUAACAGAGAAGAAGAAGAGAGAUCGGACGUUGAAAAAGCAGAAACGUAAAGGAAUUACAAGCAAAGAGGAAGUUUUUGUUAAUGCUUCUCUCUCAAACUCUGGCAUUAGCAAUAGAAAUAGAGUGAUUCUUAGGGAGGCAAGGAACACAUGGAAAGUGGGGAAAAAAUCUUGGGUUCAGCAUUCGGGGUGACGAACAAGAUGUUAAAGAGAAUAUGAAAUUGGAAGAAAGGUAGAUCUGAGCAACAAAGAAAAGUACAGAGGUCAAUAGGCCACAGGUUAGGUUAGUACCGAUUAUAACCGUGAUUUUUUACUGUGAAUGAGAGUGUUUAGGGGGAAAGAAUGAGGAUUUUAUAAUGGAACAUUAGGGGCAUGUCUUCAGAUUUGAAAAAAAAGUUAUCUCAAAAGAGUAAUCUUUAAAGCUAGAGUAGAUGUUUGCUUCAUUUAGGAAUCAAAAUUCGAAAAGGUUACGAAUGUAAUUCAACUAUUGUAGGGAAUUCAGAAGGUGUAAUUAUAGUAUGGGAUAAAGGCAAGUUUCGAGUAGGUAGUUAUAUAUAUUCUAAACAUUUUGUAGUAGUGGAAGGAAAAUGGUUAGAAGAAGGUUUAGAAGAUAUGUUGAUUAAUGUUUAUGCACCUAAUGAGACUUUAGAUAAAAAAUCUUUAUGGGAGGAAAUUAUAGAGUUGAAGGGUUCGUUUGCCUACUCAUGGAUCAUACGGUGAUUUUAACGCAGUAAGAAAAAUGAGUGAAAGAACUAAUUGUGUGGGACUCUUGAAUGGUUCAAAGGUAUUUAACAGUUUCAUUGAUAAUUGUAAAGUGGUGGAUUUACUUCUGACGGGUAAGAAGUUCACUUGGUUCGGGACAAAUAAUAAAAUGAGUAGAUUGGAUUGAUUUUUAUUGGAUGAACAAUGGUUAAUUCGCUUCAAAGACUUUACUCAGAAAGGCUUUUAUAGACCGGUUUCUGAUCAUAUUUCGUUACUACUAUAUAAUGAUUUUGUGGAUUGAGGGCCAUGCCCAUUCAAUUUUCUUAUUGCAUGGAUCACAAAAAAGGAGUGCACGAAUCUUAUUAAUGAAGUAUGGGGAGGGAAGGGCGAAGCUAAAAUAAGGAUGUCCAGAAAGCUAAAGAGGUUGAAACUGGUUAUCUAAGAAUGGAAUGAAAAAUCUGGUGGGAAUGAAGAUUAAAAAAUAAAAUUGAUUGAAAGAAAAUUUUCGGAAUAGGAUGAUAUUGGCGGCCACAAAAAUUUGAAUGAAAAGGAAAUGGAAGUAGUCGAUUGAAUAUAGAGUUGUGGGAUACAAUUAGGUUCAGUGAAUCAGUGUGACGUCAAAAGUCAAGGUUGUUAUGUUUAAAAGAAGGUGAUUCCAACAUUGCUUUCUUUCAUAAAGUAGUGAAAUUUAGAGCUAACAAAAACGAUUCAAAAGCUCAGAUUUGAGUCUUAUUGGUGCACAGAAUCGGAGUUACUGAAGAAAAAAAUGUUCGAGUACUUUAGCAAUCAUAUUAGUUGUCCAGUUAGAAAAUGAGAAGUGAAGAUGGAUCUGAUUUUGAAAAGAUUAACAGAGGAAGAAGCUUCAAGGCUUGAAAUGCCUUUCAUGAUGGAGGAGAUUAAAGACGCGAUUUGGUGUUGCAAUGAGUCCAAAGCUUUAGGGCCUGGUGGAUUUAAUAUGUUAAGAAAUGCUAGUAAGUGAUAAGGUAGGAUUUAUUCAAUAUGAUGAUGGGGUUAUUUAGACUUGAAAAGCUUGAAAAAAGUAUAAAGUCAUCCUUCAUAUCUCUUAUUCCCAAAACCGAUUUGUUUGUUGGGAUCUUUCUAUAAAAUAGUGGCUAAGUGAUGUCUAAACAAAUCCGAGAGGUGAUUGAUGGUGUAGUGAGCAAUACUCAAUGCGCAUUUAUAAAAGGGAGACAGAUUUUUGACAGAAUUCUGGUAGCAAAUGAAAUUAGUCACUCAAUUAUGAAAAAUUCGAGCUCAGGUGGUAGUUUAAUUUUGAAGCUGGAUUUUUCAAAAGCCUAUGAUUAUGUUAGAUGAUGCUUUUUGGUUCAAAUAGGGUUUGGGGUGAAAUGGAGAGGGUGGAUAUCUAAGUGUGUAUCCAUAGUAAGAGCAACUAUUCUUGUUAACUGAUUGACAACAAAUGAGUUCAGAAUAAGAAGGGGGCUCAGACAGGAGAUCCGCUUUUUCCAUUUCUGUUUAUUCUAGUAACAAAAGUGUUUCACUUGAUGCUUGAGAAGGCUAAAGAUAUUGGGUUAAUUGCUAGCAUUUAGAAUAUAAACCUGAAUCAAUCAUUCUCUCUUCUACAAUUUGUAGAUGACACCAUUCUCUUUGUGAAAGCUGAGGAAGAGUAUGUUCUAAAUAUUAUAUAUUUUAAGGUGUUUUGAAUCUUUUUUUGUCUUAGUAUUAAUUUCCAGAAAUCAUGCUUGGUGGGAUUUGAGAUGAAAGAGGAGUUUCUUUUAUGAAUGGUAGCAUUAUGUCGAUGUAAGAUUGGGAAUUUAGCUUUUAAUUAUUUAGGUAUUCCAUUAGGUGCUGAUCCGAGAAAAAUAGCUACUUGGGAGCCAAUUGUGGAAAAAUUUUCAGAAGAAACUAGCUGGUUGGAAAUAUCAGUCGCUCUCUUUCGUUGCAAGAGUAGUACUAACUAAUUUGUUACUAUCAUGCCUCCCUAUAUAUUUCAUGUCAUUAUUUCAAGCCCCUAUCACAGUAAUAAUUAAAAUCGAUAAAAUCAGAAGAAAAUUUAUGUGGUAAGGUUCAAAUUGUAACACCCCUUACCCGUAUUCGACACCGAAAUAGGAUAAGAGGCAUUACCAAAAAUUACGAAACAUUUACGGAUAAUUCGAGUCAUUUACAAUUCACUAUUUCUUCCUGUCAAUCCCAAUUUCAAAUGACAGAUUCAUGUAAAUGAGUUCAAUAUCAUUAGCUGUUUAAUUUCCGUCACUUAAAUUCAUAUACACAUAAUUUAUUAACAUAACCUGUCAAAACAAUCUCUGAAUGAUGAGAUCACAUAAUUGAACUCAAUUUCACUGUUCAAUAUGUUUUAUUACAUAAGAUUUGCUUAAUAGUUACCACAAUUUGUCAAAUUAGAGAACGUCUUACGGAAUUGAGUACUUCGUUUUCACAUUGCCAUAGUAUAACUAUGGUCUUGCACAUUGUCACAUAUCACACACCGAAGCCAUAGCCCAGCUAUGGUCUUACACUGAAACACAUAUCACACUAAUGCCAUAUCCAGAUAUAGUCUUACACGGAAAUCACAUAAUCAUAUUUUCACAUGUUGCCAUGGUCAAACCAUGGUCUUUUCCGUCAAUUCAUCACAUAUCACUGAACGAAAGUACUCAUUCCUGCGUUCUACUCAAUUUGACCUCUUAGUUCUUUUUUCGUACUUUUACAAUAUUCACACUUUAAAUACGAACAUAUGAAAUGAUUCGUCACUUCUUUCAUUUACUAACAAAUAAUUAUUAAAUUCAGCUAUAUGAACUUACAAUUUGAUUUUAUAACAUAACUAUAAUAAUAAUUUCAUAAUAACUAUUUAAAAUAAAACAUUAUAUCAUUUUCUAGAUCAACGUUUAUCGAUUAUAAUCGGGCAUAUGACCAAUUUAUACACAAGUCAUUCAUAUAUUUUCCUCCUCCUCCUCUCCAUUCCACAUCCUUAAUGUGUAUAACACACUUAAACAACAUUAUCCAUACUUUCACUAUUUCCUUGUAUGUAAAUUCAAAGCUGUCUAUUUGAGUCAGAGUCACUAAAUCAUUUUUAUCCGGAGCUACAAAGCUCCAAAUUAAGAUCCGUUAAUUUUACCCAAAACUAGACUAACAUAUAUACUUACCAUAAAAUUUUCAGAAUUUUUUACUUGGCAAAUUAGUACAUUUUAUUCUUUAAAUUCACCCUUGUUUCACAGCUCAACAUCUCUGUCCUCUCUUUACUAAAAAUGAAUUAUCUCAUUGUACAUAUUUUGGAUGGUUCUCUCGUUUGUUUCUCUUAAAAAUAGACUCAUUGAGGAAUUUAAGAAUGUAAAUUACAAACCAUAAUUAUUUAUUUAAAAUUUAUAGUGAUUUUCCAAAGUUGAAACAGGGGAACUCGAAAUCAUUCUGACCUUGUCUCACAAAAUUAAUUAUAUCUCAUGAUUUUCAAUUCCACUGCUUACACCAUUUCUUCUAUGAGAAAUUAGACUCAAUAAAAUUUAAUUUUAUAUUUUAUUCAUCUUCUAAUUCGAUUCCCACAAUUUUUGGUGAUUUUUCAAAGUUAGACCACUGCUGCUGCCCAAAACUGUUUUAGUGUAAAAUAUUGAUUACCAUUUUGACCCUAAACUUUGAAUACAUGUCAAUUUCAUCCCUAGGUUCAGAAAAUGAAAUUAUUUCAAUUUAAUCCUUGAUCCAAGCCUAAGAAUUCUCAUACAUAUCAAUAACAGCCCAUGGAUUCCAUGAAAUUUCAUAAUUUUUCCACAAUUUCAAUACUUUUCAAUUUAAUCUCUAAAACAUGUUUUCAUCCAAAAUUCUUUAAUAAAACACCUUUAAACAUCCAUUAACAUCUUAAUUUCAUCAUCAAAUAACAAAAAUCAUAUGAACUUAUCAAUGGUAUCUUCCAAAACUUUCAACAAAAUGAGAAACUAAUAGAAUUCUAAGUUGGACCUAAUUGUAAAAGUCUAAAAAUAUAAAAAUUUCAAGGAAAAAGCAAGAAUUAAACUUACUUGAAGCUAAGAUAUGGAAUACCAGCUCUAAACCCUCUUCCAUGGUUGUUUUCCACCGAAAUUUCAAGAAGAAAUGGUCUUGAAAUGCUUAAAAUAAAAUUUGGCUACACAAACUUUAUUGUAAUUCCAAUUUUGUCCUUAAAUACAUAAAAAUAUUUGAUUUUUUAAAUGGUAUGCCAUCUCAGCCACUUAAAUUGGUCCAUUUACUCUUUUAUUCCUUCCUUAUUUAAUUGUUAAGCUAUUUAAUCACUUUAGCAAAUUUUGCAUCUUUUCAAUUUAGUCAUUUUUAAUUAAUUAACUGCCGAAACAUUAAAAUUUUCUGACGAAACUUUAACACUACCAUAUUGACACUCCGUAAAUAUUUUUAUAAAUAUUUACAGCUUAGUUUAUAAUAUCGAGGUCUCGAUACCUCUUUUCCUCAAUUUCUUGACUUAAUAAAUUUUUAUAAAACACAAAUUACUAAUUCAAAAAUCUCUAAAAAAUCAUAUUUGGCUUGUAAUAAAAUUUACGAGCUUAUUUUUUGAAUUUGGUGAUCUCGUAUCACUGUUUUCGAUAUUUCUAAAAAUUGUGCUAUUACACAAAUGAAAGAAGAAAAAUGGAAAAAGUUGGUUGGAAUCAAGUGUGUUUACCAAAAAAAUUGAGAGGGGUUGGUGUGGUAAAUCUUAAAAUUAGAAUUGGGCUCUUAUGGCAAAGUGGGGAUAGAAAUACGCUACAAAAAAUAAUGCUUUGUGGAGAAAAGUUAUCCAUUCGAAGUAUGGCUCGCCUUUGUAACAUUAGGGAUUUAAGACAUCCAAACCAAAAGAGAUGUCGAUUGAAUGGCGCGAUAUUAUGGAAAAUUCAAAAUUAGAGGGAGUGUCAAAAUAGAUUGGGUCAGAAUCUUUUAGGUGGGUGAUUGGGAAUGGGAAAUCGUUCCUCUUUUGGAAGGAUAUUUGGUGUGGUAAUUGCCCGCUGGAGGUGGAGUUUCCUAAGUUGUUCAAACUUGCUAUUGUGAAGAAUAUUGUGGUCAAUAAUGUAGCAAAGAAUAAUGGGUUUCAGGAGGUAUAUUGGGGAGGACGUUUUCUCAAGGAAGUUGCUGGGUAAAGAGGUAAUUAUGUUGAACAAUUUGAAGAAUUUGAUUAGGAGUUUUGAACUAGAUCCUAAAGUGGAGGAUUGUAUCAUUUGGAUUCAUGAUAGUGUCAGAGAGUUUACAGUUAGGAAAUUGUCUCAAUUGUUGUCUUAUGAUGGAAUGAGAGCUAUUGAUUUCCCAUUUGAAAGGAUUUGAAAAUUAAAGGUACCACCAAGAGUCUGAAACUUUCUGUUGAUGUUGUUUAUUAAGAGUCUUGCAACAAAGGAUUUUCUGAUUAGCCAGUGGGUGAAUCUGGAUAGGAGUACAAAAAAUAUUGUGGUGGAUUUCGAUUUCAGCGUUAUGUUGGACCGUGUGGUUAGCUUGGAACGAUAAAGUGUUCGAUAGGACAUCGACGAAUCUAGAUACAAUAUUGUACCACUCUAAAAUGAGAGCUUUGAUGUGGGCUAAGGCAGUGCAAGAAGAAUGUCAAUUUUAGGAAGGUUAUUGGUGGUAUUGGCCAGCGAAAUUUAGCUCCUAAAAAAGCAUGGCAAACAUUGAUGUUUACCAUUGGAAGCCACCUCCUCUCGAAUGGAUGAAAUUCAAUGUGGUUGGUUUUGUUUUGAAGGAUGAAGCAGGUUGUGGUGAGUUUUUGAGAGAUGAUAAAGGAGUGACUUGUAUGGUUUUCUCGAGGCGGAUCAAAGCCAGGGGAGCAAAAAUGGCAGAAGUAAUAGCAAUUAAAACAAUAAUGGAUAUGGAUAUUAGAUCGAGUCCAAAGGCAGAUGUUCCAUUAAUAAUUGAAGUAUGCUCGUUUGUUGCUUUAGAAUAGCUGACAAAUAAGAGUUAUAGACCGUGGUUGUUACAAAAAUUGUUUGGUGACAAAGACUAUGGCAUUAAAUAGUUGGCUCAAUUUCAGAUCACAGUUAUUCAUCGACAAAGUAAUGGUAUGGAGGAUGCUUUGGCGAAAGCAGGUAUAUCAAGAUCUUCCUUUUUUAAAGCCUUGUGGUGAAUUUGUUAAAUGUAUCCUUUUGCUUGUUGUGCGGAGGUUUUUGUAUCUGGUUGUCUGUUGUAUUAUUGUCGUAUUCUUGCUUUUCUUAAAACAGUUGGUGGUUCCAAUGUCUUUCUUGAAUUAUUUUAUUCGAUUGAGCAAAAAAAAACUUUAAAUUAUAAUACUUUAGAAAUUCAUAUUAUUUGUUUAUAUUAAAUUAUAAAGUGAAAAUUUAAAACUUAAAAAAUACUACAAACCUCUACAAUUCGUACAUUUAAACAUGGACUUCUAAAACUUGAUAGCAAACAUAUAUGUAGAAAGUAUUAAUUAGUGGAAAACUUAUGUCUUUUCACUUAGUUUUGCAUGCAAUAAAUUUUAUGAUUUUUUUACAUGAUACUAUAAUAUAACAAAGUAAAAUUAAAGAUAAUUGAAAUGUGGAUAAAUUUGAUGUGAAAAUGGGGAUAAUAAAAUUAUAUAUUUUAAGUUAUCAUUAGGUUUUAAAUUAAGUGUAUAUAUUAUCUAGAUUUAAGUUCUAACAUGAUUUUUUUAUUAUAUUAAUUAUAAGAUGAAUCAGUAUGUAAAUAACAUUAAAUAAUUAAUAAAACAUAAAUCAAAUCAAAAUAGUAGGUAAAAAUAUUUUAGUUGAUUUGAUUUGAGUCGAAUAUUUUAUGUUUGAUGAUCAACCGAUUAGUUUGAUCUUUAAAAACUUGAGUUCCCCAAACGUAUGUUUACUUUUAACCUUUUAAUAUAAAAAUAAAAGUUAAAAUAAAUAAUAAAAGAAAAACUAAUCAGAAGAAGAAUUUUCAUUUUUAAAUAAAAAUGAGCUUUCCUACAAAAUAUUUGGUGGAAAAUUCAUUAAGAAAGGAUAUUGUAUGAAUGUACCACAAAAUUAAUCGCAUUCCCUUUGAUUAGAAAAGUAUUAAAAAGAUAAAAAAAACAUCAUAUCCAAACUCCAGUUGCGCCAUUGUCAUUUUGGAAGCGGGUAAUUUUUAAUAUUUCUUUUUGCUAUCUUAUUAACAUUUGAUUGCUUGCAAUUGGUGGCUACUCGUUUGGCUCCUUCACUUUUGUUAUCUUAGGUAACGUUAAUGGAUCUUUAAUCAUUUAGUUUUGGGGUUAUGAAAUGCUAGUGGUGUGCUAUUUUUUAUUCGUUAAUUGUUUAGUUCUACGUUUAGGUGAAGCUCAUGAGAUGUUUGGCACUCAUUCAACAUCGUAGUUUUGUAUGGUUACGGUUUGAUUAAUGGUAAGACUGUGAAAUAAUUUUGGUAUUGGAAGAGUUUAAUUCUUAAUUGCCCCGUGCCUCGUUAAUGUUAUAAUCAUUUUAUUUGUUGUAUUAGGGUCUUAGAGGUCUUGUGGUUCGUUCCCAUUAAAACCGAACCAGGUGGGUAACGAGAAACCUAAAAAUCAGUAAACUACAAAAGGUGGGUAAUGAGAAACCUGAAAAUCAGUAAACUACGAAAGCUGAAAUUGAGGCCUGUUAACGCCACACAGUCUUGGCCAUUUUGGGUCGUAUAGGCCACAUGAGCAUGUGUGGACCACACGAACAAGGCUAAUUUGGGCCGUGUGAGCUAUACGGACGUGUGGACUCAAAUUUCAAAAUUUUUCCCUAGGGUCGUACAAGUCGUCUCGAUUGACUGUGAGCCCUCCAUAUUAAGUAGAGGAAGUGUUCUGUGUGAGGCAUUAACUCGCCAUUAUACUAACAUUUGUUUGAUGAUUAGAUUCUAUUAGCUGAGUUGCAAGUUAAGCCAACUUAGAUUGAUCAGAUUCUGGAUAAACAAUUUAGGGAUGAUUCUCUGGUUCUGCGAUUCUGUUAGGUAGAAGAUGGUAGUACAUCUGAUUUUGGGCUAAAUAGUGGUAGGGUUCCGUGUUUCCGAGAACAGGUUUGUGUACCUAAUGAUUUUGAUUUGAGGCAGUCCAUUCUGAGGAAAGUGUAUAGUAGCCCUUAUGCUUUGCAUCCUAGUGGAAAUAAGAUGUAUCGAGAUCUUCGUGUUCUAUACUAGUGGCAUGUUUGAAACGGGAGGUAAAAAAUUUUAUUUUUUGUUGUCUGAACAUGCCAGCAAGUUAAGGCUAAGCACCAGUUGCCUUCGGGUUUCCUUCAACCCGUUAAGAUUCCCAUGUGGAAAUGAGAACAUGUGACUAUGGACUUUGUUAGUAGGUUACCCCUAACACUUCCUAAGAAGGAUAUUAUGUGGGUCAUCGUAGGUCAAUUAUACAAGUUUGUCGACUUUAUUCCUGAUCGAACAGAUUAUUCUCUUCAAAAGUUGGUCAAAUUAUAUGCUUUCGAGAUUAUGAGACUUCAUGGGGCACCUGUCUCAAUUAUUUCUGAUAGAGAUUCUCACUUCACUUUUUAAUUUUGGAGGAAACUUCAUGAGGCUCUAGGUUCGAGGUUGGACUUCAGUACUGUGUUCCAUCCUCAGACAAUGGUCAAUCUGAGUGAGUGAUUCAGAUACUAGGGGAUAUGCUUCGGAGUUAUGUAAUUGAUUUUCGACGUAGUUGAGAUGAUUUUUUACCGUUAGCCGAGUUCACCUACAAUAACAGCUUUUAGUCUAAUAUUCAGAUGGCGCCUUACGAGGCUCUAUAUAGUCGUAAGUGUCAUACUCCUCUAUGUUGGACUGAGUUAGGUGAGCGACGGGUUUUAGGUCCUGAGUUGGUUUCUGAGACUGAGGAUAAAAUUAGACUAAUUUGGGAUCAUUUUAAAGUGGCUUCUGAUAGAUAGAAGUCCUAUGCAAAUAUGAAAAGAGGGACAUUGAGUAUUCCGUGGGUGACUAUGUGUUCCUUAGUGUGUCUCCAUGGAAGAAAGUUCUACUGUUUGGACGUAAGGGCAAGUUGAGCCUAGGUUCAUUGGGCCCGUAUCGAAUUUUGAAAUGUACGGUAUUAGACAUGUAUUAGUUAGAGCUAAUUUUAAAGUUAGACCGUUUCCAUGAUGUGUUUUACGUCCCUAUGUUGAGGCGGUAUCAGUCACACCCAUCUAAUAUUGUUUCUGUUGAAGAGAUUGAGGUUAGACUAGAUUUAACUUUUGAUGAGGAGUCGAUUUAGAUUUUGGAUUGGGAUGUGAAAGUCUUGAGGAGGAAAUCUAUUCUAUUAGUUAAGGUUCUGUGACGGAAUCAUGGCGCAGAGAAAGCCACUUGGGAACCUGAGGACUCGAUUCGUCAGCAAUAUCCACACCUGUUUGAGUUAGGUAAAUUUCGAGGUUGAAAUUUCUUUUAGAGGGGUAGAGUUGUAAUGAUCCCAAAUAUUUAAUUAUUGCUCUGAUAAAAUUCGUCAUAGUUAAAUAAUUGCUUCAAUGGUUAAGGGCCUUGGGUGUAAAGGGUGGGUCGUGAGUUCAAGUCUUUGGGAGAGUCUUUUGCUAAGUAAUUUUUUGUUAUGUUGUUGAGUAGAAUUUGAGUUAAAGUUUAACUCAAAGAAUGGGGGGGAUAUUUGUUGCUUGAUUAUAGGGAUAGGAGGUGGGUAGUUGUGUUGGUUUAAAUUUUAAGUUUUAAUUUAUUUAAAAACAAAAAGAAAAACUUCUUCCCUCAAACCCAGAUUUCCACUUUCUUUCUUUUCUUGUUUUUAUUUUUUUUCUCUCUUCUUGCUUCACUGUCAUUUUGGAAGUGGGUAAUUUUUAAUCUUUCUUUUUGUUAUCCUAUUGACAUUUGAUUACUUACAAUUGGUGCCUACUUGUUUGGCUUAUUCACUUAUGUUAUCUUAGGUAAUGUUAAUGGAUCUUUAAUCGUUUAAUUUUGGGGUUAUGAGAUGCUAGUGGUGUUAUUGUUUUAUAUUAGUUAAUUAUUUAGUUAUGCGUUUAGCUAAAGGUCGUGAGAUGUUUGGCACUCUUUCAACAUCGUAGUUUCAUAUGGUUGUGGUUUGAUUAACUGUAAGACUAUGGAAGAGUUUUGGUGUUGGAAAAGUUUAAUUCUAGAUUUCCUUGUGCCCUGUUACCAUUAUAAUCAUUUUAUUUGUUGUAUAUUGGUCUCAAAAGUCUUCUGGUUGCAUUCCCUUCGAAAUUGAACCAAAAGGGUAACGAGAAACUCAAAAAUCAGUGAACGGCGAAAGCCAAAAUUGAGGCCUAAAAAUGCAUGUAAUGUGAUGUGAUAUGUAUGAUAUGUUAUUUAUAGGCAUGUUCAAUAUUUGUCAUAUGAGCAUGCAUGAUAUGUAAACUCUGGCCUCUGCUAUUUCUAUUAUUUUCAGUGUUUUGUUCAUAUCUGGUUAUGGGGCAGGUUAUGUAUUAUGUGGAGGAAGUGUUCUGCAUAAGGUGUUAACUCGCCAUUAUACUAGUAGCACUACUGCGAUUAUUCUGAAAAGUGUCAUAAGGAUACUAAGUGGUGUGUAGGGAUAGGUGGGUGUUUUAUACCCCACAUGGUGUGCUAGGAUGGUCAAAGCUGAUGUGUAAAGGAUGGGGGUAGGAUUAUAUUUAUCUGCACUAAUACUACUCUUAUACAAUUCUAAUUCUGUAUAAGAAAUAUGAUUAUAUCUGUUCUUUUAUGUGAUUAUAUUUGAAUUUCUGUUUCUUUUGAGUUACACACUAAGUUAUAAAAACUCACACUUUGUUUGUCUGAUAAUUUUAGGUAACCCUCAGAAUGAGGCAGGUUGGUUCGACGGGAGCUCGGUUAUGUCCACAAUUUUGUAAAACUUUAUUUAAAUAAAUUUGGCUUAUUUAAAAUUUUCGAUUUGAGAGUUUUGUAAUUUUUGGACUCUCUAGACAUUUAGGUUUGUUAUUGGUUUGGAUUUUGUUUUGGGUUUUUUCUUGAAAUUUGAUAAAAUGAUUUUUUUUUGAAAAACGGCUAUGUUUCUACGAUUAACUGUUUUUAAGAAAACAAACUCGAAUUUUUAAAAUAUAACGCUUUAAGAACUUCCGCUGCAACUUAUUUGAUUUAAUUUAGGAAAUGAAAUCAACUACCGGUUUUAACUAUUAAGUAUGUCAAACGUUUUUCAAUUAAAAUGGACUUUUAACGUUUUUCAAUUAAAAUGGACUUUUAAAUUAAAUAGCAAAGGUUCACGACAUUUUUCAAAAAUCGAAAGUUAGAUUUAUAAUUAUUUUACGCAAUAUUCCAGAUUCAGCCAUAAUGUCUAGGCUGAGUUUUAAGUGCUACGACAUUGCUUGAACCAAAAAUAUUCAUAAUCUCCACAAACAAAUUGCAAAGAGUAUCGACAUCUAAAAUCAUGUCGAAUGCAUUAAGGGAUUUGAUGAAGCAUAAUCCUUUAGGGCAAUGCACUAAAAGAUUGGUUAAUGACUUUUGUUCCAAAUCUUUCUACCCACCUCUCAUUGUGGUGCAUCCACAUUUCACCCAAAUCCUUUUGUAGAAUUCAAACAGCCAUAAAUCCCUUUUUUGAGUACUCUAGUAGAUUGGUUAACAAUGCAUAAUAUGAUAGAGCUUUCUAUCCCAAUCCUAUAGAUGCCAGCUUUCUAUCCCAAUCCUAUAGAUGCUAUGGCAUCAAGGCGCAAUUCAAACUUUGCAAGACCCUUUUGCAUUUCUUUGAUAUUUGAUUGAACUUUUUAAAAGUCUAUUUGGGUGAGAGAUUGGGAAGAAAACUUUCAUUUCUUGCAAAGUUUUAGAAAAUAUUCUGAACAUAUAUUUACUUUUUGGGGUAAACAUAAUAAAUUUUUAAGAAAUUUUAAAAAGGGUUUUGAAUAACCCAAAAUCCCCAUUCAAAUUCCAGAGAUAGUUUUUCAAAUUUCCAUUCAUUUAAUACAUGUGAUCUCACAGUGAAAUAAAAAAAAAGGCUAGCAUUUUGUACAUAUGCAAUGUACUUUUUUAUUUCAAGCAUCCUUAAAAAAUUAUCAUGUGUCUCUUUUUUAAAAUUAUAAACUUUUUGGGUAUGCAUUUGGUAUACUUGUAAUAUUUUUUUCCACAAGCAGUAUUGAAAAAUUGACAAGUCUCUUUUUAUGAAUAUCUAUUUUUUAAUAUUUUACUAUACUUGACACUUGUCAACUCUCUAAUCCUGCUUGUGAAGUCUAAAAACUACACUGAUGGUAUAUCAAAUAUUUUAUAUAACUUUAAAAUGUAAUAUUUGUUUAAUUUCAAUAUUUUUAUAUUUUAUAUUAUUAAAAGUAUUUACAUAUUUUUAUGAAUGUAAUGAUAUCCAUCUUGCAUAUUUUCAUAUUAUUUUUCUUUUAUAAUUAUUUUUUAACUUAUUAAAUUUUAUUAACUUUAUUUUUUUUAAAAAUUAUUUUUCGAAACCAAAAAAUUAAAAAUAUUAAAGGAUGUAUUUUAAAAUGGUAGCAUUUUUAAAGGCUUGAUAAAUUUAAAUUUUCAAAAUGUUUUAUCCACCCUAAAAGAUGAAAAGAUGAAGCAUGUAAUUGUAGUGGCCCGAAGCGACGGCAAAGGAGACCAAGACGAAGGGGGAAAUGAGUGAUGAGAUCACUUACCAAGUCUUUUCUUUUGGAAUUUUCGCCAUUUAACUUAGUGGUAAUUAUCUGAUAGUGACUAUUCAAUUCCCUUUGGUUCAUAUGAAAUUUACUUUUAAAAUUAUUAUUUUCCUCUACUUGCACAAGGAAUAUAUAUAAUACUAAAUUAGCACAAUAAUAAAUAAAAUCAGUAAAAGAAGUGAAAUCCAUCUUCAUAUAGUGGAUUCCGUUCUCGUAAUCAAAUCAUAAUCUUUGAGAAAAUUAGAAGAUUAAUAAAAUAAUUUAUUUAUAUUCAAACUUAAAUAAAGAUAAAAUAUGAAUACAUACCCAAAAUAAAGAUAUUUAAUUAGAAAAUAUGAAUCCGUAACUAUACAGUUCUUACAUUUAGACAUAGACAUCUAAAACUUGAUAGCAACCAUACAUGUACAAAGUUCUAAUAAGUGGAAAACUUAGGUCUUUUCACUUGGUUUUGCUUGCAGUACUAGUAGAUUUUAUGAUUUUUUUUUACAUGAUAAUAUAAUACAACAAAGUGAAGUUAAAAGUAAUUGAAAUGUGGAUAUAUUUGAUUUGAAAAUAGUGAUAAUAAAAUUAUAUAUUUUAAGUUAUUAAUGUUGAUUAGGUUUUUAAAUUAAAUGUUAUAUAUAUAUUAGCUACGAGAUCUAAUCUGAAUUUUUUAUUAAUUAAUUAUGAGAUGAAUAAAGAUGUCCUAUGUAAAUAAUAUUAAAUAAUUAAUCAAACAUAAAUCAAAUCGAAGUAAUUGGUAAAAAUAUUUUAGUUUAAGUUAAUUUGAUUUGAUUUGAAUAUUAUGUUUGAUGAUAAAUUAAUUAGUUUGAUCUUUAAAAAAUUGAAUUCGUAAGCAUGUUUAUUUUGUUUUAAUUAAAAAAUAAAAGUCAGAAAUAAAUAGUGAAAGAAAAAGAAGAUUUUUCACUUUUAAAUAGAGAUGAAUUUCCAUCAAAAUAUUUUGUGGAAAAUUUGUUAGGAAAUAAUAAUUGUAUGAAUGUAACACAAAAUUAAUUGCAUUCUUUAUUAACAUUCCAAUUGUCUUAUUAAAAAGUACAACACAUUGAAUAAUCUUUGUUAACAUUCCAAUUGUCUUAAUCAUCACAACUGUACAUGUUGACUAACAAUCUUCAUCAUCACCAAGUAAUUACUCCAAAAUUUGUCUAAACUAAUAUUAAAAACAUUCUAUACAUUCAAGACCCAUUCUAAGCAAUAAACUCCUUGGAAGUGAUCAUGGCUUGCAAGUGACUCUUAUAAUCAUGCAAAUUCUUCAUUAAUAAAAUUAAUAGCAAAACAUUUCUCACUAGGACAACAAUUAACCCAAAAUCCAUUUGUGAUUGUCGAAACCAUUUUUUAUUGAAUUUGAACAACGGGAAUUGACUUUGAAAAUAGAGUCGCCACCAAUCUUUUAUUGAGGUGUGAUCAAAUCACCUUAAAAAUGAUUUUUGGUCUACGAAUUUUGAGAAAACAAGUCCGGAAGUCGGUUACGCACGAGGAAGUGUUAGCACCCUCGUGACGCCUAAAAUUGGUACCGAAUUGAUUGUUUAAUGUCUUAGUGUCGAAACUUGAAAAGAUUUUUAAAUACGAUCCCAUGAAAUGAAAACUUAAAUAAUUGAAUUGGCUAAAUAGACGGGGACCCAUUUCAAAUAAAUAAACUGUCACACUCAGUUAGUUAGAGUACAAUAGUUCAAUCUUCGAAGUUAGAUUUGUCCUUUUUUAAUUUUUUUUAAAAACCAUAUUGUAGAGCCCAAAUAUGCCCGGGCCCAAUAAAAUUAAAACCCAAGACCCAAACAUCAAGCCCAAAAAUACCAACAGCCCAGCAAGCCCAAAGCUUAACAAAAUUUCAGCCAAAUCAAAAAUCAAAACCCUAGCCGCAUAGCAGCCACCAGCAAGACCCCAGCCGUCGCACGUCUCGGGACUGGCCUCCUCCAUGCGCGCCGUUUUCCCCCACGUUCGCCUGCAAAACGGACUCAAGGAGUCCCAUAGAGAGGAAACAGUAAAGAAUAAUAGCAAAAUCGGGACAACAGUUUGAUUUUUUUUGGCUAUAUAAAGGCUGAUUCUUAUUGUAAAAAUGGGGGGAGGGAAACUUUUGUUUUUUCAGUGUGAGAGAUAUACAAGAAAUAAAAAGAAAUACUGAGGAAAAAAUUUCUUGAAGGUGAAUUGGGUUUUUACAUUUUCUAUUCUGUUUAUUAUUAUUUUAUUUUGUUUUCUAAAGAAACGGUACAAAAGAGGAAAGGGAUAAUACCUUCGAGGAUUGGCCGUUGAACCACGUUCGCCUUGCUCAGAUCGGAGUUUGGCGGUGCGCUGGGAAUUGGCUCGCCUGAGAAUGGCGGCAGUGGGGGUUGGGGGUUAAAAGAAACCCUAGCAAAGAACUUUUUUUUUCUCUGCUGCAAAUGCUCUGUUUUUUUUAGAAAAAAAACUGCUUUAAGUAAAGACACCGAAACGGUGUCGUUCGGCUGAGGCAGGCCCGCGCGGUGACCCGACCCGGAGGGGAGGAUCCGCGCGUCUUGGGCCUAGAUGGUACAUUUCGCGUUUGGUCCCUGAGUUUUUAAAAGUGUGUUUAAAUCAAUUUCUUUGUUUCUCUUAAAUUUGGCCACGCGCUUUAUUUCCGUUUCAUUUGGAUCCCCAUUGAAACGCAACAUUUUAGGGAAAAGGGUUAAUAUCCCAUUUGAUCCCCCUCUGUUCUGUGCGUGUUCAAUAGGGUUCCUAUAUUUGUAUUUAUUCCAAAUUUGCUCUUAAAUUUUCUUGAGUUUCAAAUUAGUCAUUCUGUUAUUAUUAUUAUUAUUAUUAUUAUUAUUAUUAUUAUUAUCAACAUGUAUAUUUUUAAAUGCCCAGCCUCAUUAUAUGUACAUGUAUGCAUUUUUAAUAUAUAUAUAUUUUUUAAGUUUUAUACGCAGGCAUAUAUUUCGUUCUUACAUUUUCAAAAUUUCUUUUGUAUAGUUUUUUUUUGUUUCUUUUUUUUGUUUCAUAUGUUUUAUAUGUUAUACAUACUUACACAUUUCUUUAUUUUGUAAAUAUAGAUAUACAUAACUUUAUAUAUAUAUUUUUCACAUGUACAUAUUAUAUUUUAUUUGUUAUUAUUUUAUUUUCACCAUUCUCAUAUCUUAUAAUGCAUAUACAUUUUAUAAUUUAAAGUUCACAUAUAUUUUCUAUAAUAUAUUUACGUAUACGUUUUUCCUUUAAAAUCAUUAAAUAUUUUAUUGUUUCUAUAAUCUGCUAUUUUAUGUACAUAUACAUGUAAUUUUUGUAAAAUAAACAUACAUAUUUUCUUAGAAGUUAUUAUGGGUUUUACAUAUUUCAUUGUUUUUAUAAGUAUACCUAUAUGUAAGUGUUCUAUUAUGCAUACACGUAUUUCCAAAUUUACUUACAUGUUGUACGUAUUUAUGUAUAUAUACAUUUGUUGUAUAUAUAUAUAUAUAUUUAGCUCAUGUUAAAGUAUUUGUUUUAUGAGGUAUAUUAACUUUUUUAUCAUUUUUUCUAAAAAAGGGAAAAUAUAUUUGGUUUUGUCAAUACAUCAAAAUUAUUUUCUCUCGAUUCAAAGUUUUUUUUGAAUAAAAGCAUUAUUCGAAGUUUGGGGUUUUCAAGGGAAAUUGAGCCCUAACGUAUUGAGUUUUGAUUUUCUUUGUUAAUCUUAAAUAACCGAAGAUAUUCUUUAUUCAAAAUGCAUAAGCAUAAAAAUCAUUUUUGGGAACUUAACCUGUUGUGCCCUAACGUAUUGGGUGUGGCAUGUUACUUUCUCAAAGUGAAGAUUUUCGUAUAAAAUAAAAGUGAUAUUCAAGUUUGGGGAUUAUGAGGAAUUGUACCCUAACGUAUUGGGACUCGAUUUCUUUACAUGACUUGAACAAUUGAUUAUCCUUUUGUCAAUUUCACCAUUCAAGCUUAUUUUAAUAUCUUUUUUAACUUUCGACACAAAGACAUUAAAUAGUCAAUUUGGUACCGAUUUUUGGGUGUUACGAGGGUGCUAACCCUUCCUCGUGCGUAACUGACUCCCGAACCUGUUUUUAAAAUUCGCAGACCAAAAUGAUUUUUGAGGUGGGCCGGUCACACCUUAAUAAAUGAUCGGUGGCGACUCCAGUUUUAUUUUUUAACGUCGACAACUUAAAUUUUUGUUUUCAAAAAAACGGUUUCGACAGCUUGGCGACUCACUGGGGACAUUUGAGAGUCGAGCCAUAAACUGAUUAUAUUUGCCUUUGUGUCGAAAAUCAAAAGUUUUAAAAAAUUCAUGAGUUCCCUUCGCAUUUAUUGUUUUUUUUUUCAUGUUGGUAUGUUGGUAGUUUUGCAUUUGCAUUUUGCAUUUUACCCUUUAAGUGGGAGCGAGAAACUAGUCCUUCGUGAGGUUUUCACCUCCGUGCAGGGUAGUGGACCGCUUCCGGGAUACAUCCGUACCUAUGUCUUCGUGAGAUUUUCAUCUCCGUACAGCCAUAGGGAAAUGUAUUCCCCUGAACUGAACUCGAUUCAUAUGAGCCUAUAAUGGGUGAUGAUCGAGGAAUCUGCUGGUUCGGGUACCUUUACCUUAGUAGCCAAACCGCAUAUAGUGAACCUUAGGAACUUACCCUAGGUAGAAUUACUCUAAACCUUAGUAGAUACCUGACUAGGAGUUUUUAUUAUUUCUUGAUUGUAUUGGAUUUAAUGUUUAUACCCGAUACUAACCCGUUUUGUUUUGUUUUGGUUAUGAUUGCAUUGCAUUUGCAUUGUAGAAAAGAGAUGUUGAUUCAAGUUUGAUUACUAAUUUAGAAAGCCUAUCAUAAGAAAACAGGUUUCUUGAUAAAAUGGAAAAUAGUACGGCAGCCUGAAUAUAUUCCAAGAAAUACAAGAAGGGCGAUGGAAGAAUUCGUGACUUUACUUUAGGGCCCGAGGAUUCAAGAUGAUUUGUCUAAGAGCUUUCAACAUUCCAAAUUUCUUAAAGAAGCUAAUGAGCAUUACGGGGAUAGGUAGACAACGGAUUGCGACCAGAAUCAAGCAGAAGGAGCUAGCAGUGACAUCCAUUGGAAGUUCGCGAGGUUUAUCUUAACAUCCGGAUGAAAAAGGAGAAGAUAUCUUUGUUUCGAGUAUGAGGGAAAAGCCGUAUAUAUAUCCGCUUUAUGUAAAGAAAUUUGUCCUCUAGUAAGGUUUUCUAAAUGGAAUUGAAUCAGAAUCAACGUCUCUUUAUGCAUUCAUUUCAUGCAUUCGCAUUUCAUUACAUCAUAUGCAUCAAAGAUUAUUCAAAGAUACUAAUUAACUAAAAUCAUUGCUCAGUUAACCUGGAAUCCAACCAACCAACCCAACACCGAUACGGCACUCGAGCAAAGACAAAAGAUAUGGAUCAGAGAUUAGAAAAGCUCAAACAGUACCAGAAGGAGAUGCAAGAUCGGCUUCAGCUACAAAUGCAGGAGCGGCUAGACAAGAUGAAACAAGAGAUGUCUGAGAAGAUGCGAGAAUCCCAAGAAGAUAUAGUGGCAAAGUUAACCCGACUGAUAACUAAGGGAGGUGACAAAGGAAAGGGCCCCAUGGCAGAUGUCGAUGAAGGAAAUGAUGAUGAACUUUUCUAUCCUCCAGGUUUCACCCCUCCACAUGAGCGAGCUCAAGCUGAAUACCCACGCAAAUCAACUGUCACCAUCAUGCCUCAGCAAUUUCGAACUGGUGUUUCGAACCUCCAAACUGGGCUGGGUUUUAAUCUCGAAAAUAACCCCGUGAACCCCGCCAUUCCGGACUUUGACGAAGUGGCUGAGAAGGAAAGAAUAAAGGUGGAAUUACCGAAACAGUUAGAGGAUCGAUGCAAGUGGCUCGAGGAGAAGUUCAAAGCGAUGGAAGUCACUGAAAGUUAUCGAGGCAUUGAUGCAAAAGAGCUGAGUUUAGUGCCAGAUCUUGUUCUCCCUCAUAAGUUUAAGAUGCCUGAAUUCGAGAAGUACAAUGGGACGACUUGCCCAGAGGAUCAUAUCACCAUGUUCUGCAGGUGAAUGGCUGGAUACGUUAAUAAUGACCAGCUAUUAAUACAUUGCUUCCAAGACAGCCUUGCAGGGGCAGCAUCCAAGUGGUACAAUCAGUUGAGUCGAGCUACGAUUGGUUCAUGGAGGGACUUGGCGCAAGUAUUCAUGAAACAAUAUAGUCAUGUGACAGACAUGGCUCCUGAUAGAAUCACCCUUCAAAACAUGGAGAAGAAGCCGAGCGAAAGCUUUAGGCAGUACGCACAGAGAUGGAGGGAGGUCGCGGUCCAAGUUCAGCCGCCGCUCUUGGAAAAGGAAAUGACUAUGUUGUUUAUUAACACACUAAAAGCCCCAUUCAUUACGCAUAUGUUAGGAAAUGCUACAAAAAGCUUUCCUGACAUAAUUAUGAAUGGUGAAAUGAUCGAAAAUGCGAUAAGAAGUGGGAAAAUUGAUAUAGAGGAGAGUAACAAGAGGUAAGUCUCAAAAAGAAGAGAAAAUGAGGUGAACAACACGGGUUACUCUAAAUCAGUUACUGUUCAGCCAAGAAAGGUGGUUGGUAAUCAACAAAAUCCAUCGAGGCAAGAUUCCGGCAUAAAGACUGAAAAAUUCCAGUUUACACCAAUCCCAGUACCGUAUAAGGAACUGUAUCAAAAUUUGUUUGAUGCACAUGUUGUUUCCCCUUUUCAUGUGAAGCCUCUACAACCUCCGUAUCCCGAAUGGUAUGAUGCGAACACACAAUGUGACUACCACGCGGGAAUUACGGGACACUCGAUUGAGAAUUGCACUGCCUUCAAGAAGCAAGUUGAAAGACUUAUCAACAUGGGUAUUAUCAAGUUUGGUGACUCAUCUAACGCAGGAAAUCCGCUACCCAAUCAUGAUUGAGGAUGGAGGGACUGCAAUAUAUGAAGAAGUGGUGAGAAAUUUGCACAUCGAUGCCAUAUAUGCAGACACAAUUUAAAGGGUCAUUGUUAGAUAUUUUCCUUAGAGGUGUUCUAAAUAAUGAGACUGCGGAGGAAACCCCUGAAGUAUUUAGAGUCUGUUAGAGUAAUGUUCAGAACACACUUGUUGCUUUCAGCCUAGAAGCAAUAAGGAUUUCUUUGUGAAAUAAGCUCACGUCUGAACAUUAUUAUUUUAAUGAAAUACAUUAUUGCAAUCAUCUUUGAGCAAAUGUUCUUUCAUUCUUUACAUUUUUUUCAUUUUUUUUGGAUUUUUUCUGCCAAACCAUUCAUUCAUAUUAUUCAUACAUUCUUUUGUAUAUUCACGGAUACCUGCUAUGGGUCCCCAGAUAUCAAUGUCAUGAGUAAUGCUGCUACAGACUCAAAAUUUCCUUUUGAGUGAGACAUGUGUUUAGAGGGGUCUCAUGACUUUGAAGAUAACAUAGAUUGUAGCUUAUCUCCAGACUUGAGGAGGGUGAUAGAAUAAGAGGAUAGACAGAUCCUACAUCACAAUGAAUUAUCAGAAAUUGUGAGCUUGGUGAAGAUUGGAAUUGACAUGAUCACAAAGACGAGGCGGGACCUUAUAGAGCUACCACAAGAAUUCAAUGAUGUCUUCACAUGGUCUUACCUAGAUAUGCUCGGGUUAAGCACUAGCUUGUAAUCUGAAUAACAGCAUGAUGUUAGAAAUGGGCAGUAGGUUCAACAUCGAUGCUAUGAACGAUGUAGUAAACUUUCUUUGCUCGGGCAAUAUCCUCCUAUUUGGCUUAUCAUAGCUUUACUCAUUGAAGUCGAAUUGUCAUUUCUCUACAUUUUAUCCUAAGAGGAAGACCCGAAGGUCCGUCCCAAAGAAUUUGACAAGAGGGAACUAAUGUUGAAAAAGAUCCUUCCUAUACAAAAGGAUUUUAGAGGAAGAUAGAGGCCAAAUUAGAAGGGUCUAUAUGUUAUAAAGAAAGCCUUUUUUGGAGAAGCUUUGAUCUUGAGUGAGAUGGAUGGUAAAAAUUUACAAAGUCCUGUAAACUCAGAUUCAGUCAGGAAAUACUCUGCUUAAAAAAGGUGGGACCAAGGUGAAAGCCUACAAAGGGCGCUUUGAGUCAAAAAAAAAAGAGACCAGGGUGAAACCCUACAAAAGGAGCCUUGAGUAAAAAAAAAGGAGAGGCUAAUGUGAAAACUCGCAAAGGGCGCCUUAGACCAAAGGGGAUUUGAGUUGAAAACCCGAAAAAGGGCAGCUCAAAUGUUGAUCAGAAUGGGGCAUGAAGUAAUCAGAGCAGCUCAAAUACUGAUCAGAAUGGGAUAUACAGUGGUCUUGCUAUACCAGAAUCAGCAGGAAAGGGUAUGCGACAUCUUGGGGCAUCGAUAGAGUAUGAUAGAUCUCCUAAACACAUGUUAAGCUCAAAAUCGUCUUCAGAAAGUUUGUACAGAGAAGUUCAAGCUGCGAUGUCUGGGGCACCUAAUCUUUAUACCGUUUUUGCUAUUUUUGGAACACUUCAUUCAUUGCCAAGAUACACAUUCCUAAAUCAAUUUCUUUGUUAUCCAUCUUUAUUGUCCUUGAUAAUUUAUUCAUUUCGAGCUAUGCUCAGAGCCAACUCUAUUCUUAUCCAUGAUCUUUUUGCAAGCAUGUUGCAUUAGAAUAAUGGUUAAUAGACUAAUAAAACUUUCACAAGGGAAGUUUUGCAUAUUACUCUAGAAGUUUCUAAAUAAUGCAGGAACCUGAAACAGGACUAUUGUUUAGAAUGCACCAGGUUGGAAAUCUAAUAAGGAAAUGUCUAAAUUCAGACUAUCCCUUUAAAUUUUGUUACCUAAAACAUCGAUUGGACAAAAUGGCAAUGUGUCAUGUUGGUGACAAGGCUUCAAUGAACAAGCAGGCAAUGAUCACCGAAUAACAAGAAGAAGUUGUUCUUGGAGAGGAAUAUUCUUCAUUUGUGCAUGAGAAUUUGGUAUGACACCCUGGGAAUGGUGUAAGGGACCAAAGAGUUUCAUAUCCUGUAUCCUUGAAUUGUGAUAGUAGAGGAUUGAGAAAAGACCAAAUCUUUUUACUCUUGGGUUACAACGGGAGAAAGAUGGUAUAAAUUUUGCAUCCCAAUGGAUCAAACUUGGAGGUUUACAGUGGGGGGCAAUCUGGUCAAGAGUUUCUUUUGAGACGCCAGCUGAGCAAGAGGGUGCUAUAGCACAUUAGCGAUGAAACUUUAAAUAAACUUUGAGUAAUGAUAACCUAAGUGAAAAUGAGGGAUCAUUCUCGAAAAAAUGACAUUCUGCAUUCAUUCAAAUGUCAUUCAUACACGCCUAGUUAGGAGCAUUUGAUUCAUUUGAUCAUGACAUCCUAAUCAUUUGGCAUAGUUAGGUUCAUAAAGUGAAUUAUACAGGUCAUGUUCCCCAGAGAACAGAUCGGUGAAAUCAUAAAGCCUUAUCUUCCUGAACAACAGUGGAGCAGGUUGAAAAGCAGCAGAUCUUGUCUUCAUGUACUGGCGUGAAGUAGAUCAAAGAUAACAGAUCUCGCCUUCCCAUGCUGGUGGCGAAGCAGAUCGAAGGAAUACAGAUCUUGUCUUCAUGUACUGGCGUGAAGUAGAUCAAAUAUACAGAUCUCGCAUUCCCAUACUGGUGGCGAAGCAGAUCGAAAAAAAGUAGAUAUUGUCUUCAUGUAUCAGCGUGAAGUAGAUCAAAGUCAACAGAUCUUGUCUCCCCAUACUGGUGGUGGAGUAGAUAAAAGAAAGCAAAUCUUGUCUUCAUGUAUCGGCGUGAAGUAGAUCAAAGUCAACAGAUCUUGUCUUCCCAUAUUGGUGGCGUAGCAGAUCAAAGAAAGCAGAUCUUGUCUUCAUGUACUGGCGUGAAGUAGAUCAAAGAAACAGAUCUUGUCUCCCCAUACUGGUGGUGGAGUAGGUUGAAGAAAAUAGAUCGUGUCUUCAUGUACUGGCGUGAAAGAGAUCAAAGAUAGUAGGUCAUGUCUUCCUAUAUUGGUAGCGAAGUGGAUCGAAUAUACAUAUUUUAUCUUCCCAUACCGGCGGCGAAGUAGAUUGAAGAUUACAGAUCUUGCCUCCCUAAGCAGUAGUGAAGCAGAUCGAAGAUGGCGGAUUUUACCUCCCUGAAGUUGCAGUGGAGUAUAUUGAAGCCAGUAAUUCUACCUCCCCGGUCGGCAGUGGAAUCGAUUGAAAAAGCAGAUCCCGUCUUCAUGUACUGGCAUGAAGGAGAUCAAAGUUAGUAGGUCCUGUCUUCCUGUAUUGGUAGCAAAGUGGAUCAAAUAUACAUAUUUUAUCUUCCCAUACCGGCGGCGAAGUAGAUUGAAGAUUACAGAUCUUGCCUCCCUAAGCAGUAGUGGAGCAGAUCGAAGAUGGCGGAUUUUACCUCCCUGAAGUUACAGUGGAGUAUAUUGAAGCCAGCAAUUCUACCUCCCCGGUCGGCAGUGGAAUCGAUUGAAAAAGCAGAUCUUGUCUUCAUGUAUUGGCGUGAAGUAUAUCGAAGAAAGCAGAUAUUGUCUUCCCAUACUGGUGGUGAACUAUUUGAAGCUACAAGUCUUACCUCCCUGAAGUUGCAGUGGAGCAGACAAAAGUAACCAAUCCUAUCUCCUUGAAGUUGCGAUGGAGUGGAUUAAAACCGCAGAUCUCAUCUCUCUGAAGUUGCAGUAGAGCAGAUCGCGUCAGAUUUACCCUUAAGUUGUAGCUGAACAAAUUAAAGCUACAGGUCUUAUCUCCCUGAAGUUGCAGUGGAGCAGAUUAAAGUUAGCAAAUUUAGUUCUUUUGAGAAGCUACAACAUACGAAUCCUAUCUCCCUAACAUACAUUGCAGUGGAGUAGAUUGAAGCACCAGUUCUUAUACCUCUGAAGAUGCAGUAGGAGGGAAUGAGACUAUUUGAAGUAAAAAAGUACUAAAGAAGUCGAGCCUCAAUAAGGCCGGGCACAAUUGGCUUUUAGUCUUUACUCUGUUCCCGUUACACGACAACGAGCAAAGAGGGGCAGCUGUAGAGCCCAAAUAUGCCCGGGCCCAAUAAAAUUAAAACCCAAGAUCCAAACAUCAGGCCCAAAAAUACCAACAGCCCAGCAAGCCCAAAGCUUAACAAAAUUUCAGCCAAAUCAAAAAUCAAAACCCUAGCCGCAUAGCAGCCACCAGCAAGACCCCAGCCAUCGCACGUCUUGGGACUGACCUCCUCUAUGCGCGCCGUUUUCCCCCACGUUCGCCUAUAAAACGGACUCAAGGAGUCCCAUAGAGAGAAAACAGUAAAGAAUAAUAGCAAAAUCGGGAUAAAAGUUUGAUUUUUUUUUGCUAUAUAAAGGCUGAUUCUUAUUGUAAAAAUGGGGGGAUGGAAAUUUUUGUUUUUUCAGUGUGAGAGAUAUACAAGAAAUAAAAAGAAAUAAUGAGGAAAAAAUUUCUUGAAGGUGAAUUGGGUUUUUACAUUUUCUAUUCUGUUUAUUAUUAUUUUAUUUUGUUUUCUAAAGAAACAGUACAAAAGAGAAGAGGGAUAAUACCUUCGAGGAUUGGCCGUUGAACCACGUUCACCUUGCUCAGAUCGGAGUUUGGCGGUGCGCUGGGAAUUGGCUCGCCUGAGAAUGGCGGCAGUGGGGGUUGGGGGUUAAAAAAACCCUAGCAAAGAACUUUUUUUUCUCUGCUGCAAAUGCUCUGUUUUUUUUAGAAAAAAAACUGCUUUAAGUAAAGACACCGAAACGGUGUCGUUCGGCUGAGGCAGGCCCGCGCGGUGACCCGACCCGGAGGGGAGGAUCCGUGCGUCUUGGGCCUAGAUGGUACAUUUGCGCGUUUGGUCCCUGAGUUUUUAAAAGUGUGUUUAAAUCAAUUUCUUUGUUUCUCUUAAAUUUGGCCACGCGCUUUAUUUCCGUUUCAUUUGGAUCCCCAUUGAAACGCAACAUUUUAGGGAAAAGGGUUAAUAUCCCAUUUGAUCCCCCUCUGUUCUGUGCGUGUUCAAUAGGGUUCCUAUAUUUGUAUUUAUUCCAAAUUUGCUCUUAAAUUUUCUUGAGUUUCAAAUUAGUCAUUCUGUUAUUAUUAUUAUUAUUAUUAUUAUUAUUAUUAUUAUUAUUAUUAUCAACAUGUAUAUUUUUAAAUGCCCAGCCUCAUUAUAUGUACAUGUAUGCAUUUUUAAUAUAUAUAUAUUUUUUAAGUUUUAUACGCAGGCAUAUAUUUCGUUCUUACAUUUUCAAAAUUUCUUUUGUAUAGUUUUUUUUUGUUUCUUUUUUUUGUUUCAUAUGUUUUAUAUGUUAUACAUACUUACACAUUUCUUUAUUUUGUAAAUAUAGAUAUACAUAACUUUAUAUAUAUAUAUUUCACAUGUACAUAUUAUAUUUUAUUUGUUAUUAUUUUAUUUUCACCAUUCUCAUAUCUUAUAAUGCAUAUACAUUUUAUAAUUUAAAGUUCACAUAUAUUUUCUAUAAUAUAUUUACGUAUACGUUUUUCCUUUAAAAUCAUUAAAUAUUUUAUUGUUUCUAUAAUCUGCUAUUUUAUGUACAUAUACAUGUAAUUUUUGUAAAAUAAACAUACAUAUUUUCUUAGAAGUUAUUAUGGGUUUUACAUAUUUCAUUGUUUUUAUAAGUAUACCUAUAUGUAAGUGUUCUAUUAUGCAUACACGUAUUUCCAAAUUUACUUACAUGUUGUACGUAUUUAUGUAUAUAUACAUUUGUUGUAUAUAUAUAUAUAUAUUUAGCUCAUGUUAAAGUAUUUGUUUUAUGAGGUAUAUUAACUUUUUAUCAUUUUUUCUAAAAAAGGGAAAAUAUAUUUGGUUUUGUCAAUACAUCAAAAUUAUUUUCUCUCGAUUCAAAGUUUUUUUUGAAUAAAAGCAUUAUUCGAAGUUUGGGGUUUUCAAGGGAAAUUGAGCCCUAACGUAUUGGGCUCUGAUUUUCUUUGUUAAUCUUAAAUAACCGAAGAUAUUCUUUAUUCAAAAUGCAUGAGCAUAAAAAUCAUUUUUGGGAAUUUAACCUGUUGUGCCCUAACGUAUUGGGUGUGGCAUGUUACUUUCUCAAAGUGAAGAUUUUCGUAUAAAAUAAAAGUGAUAUUCAAGUUUGGGGAUUAUGAGGAUUUGUACCCUAACGUAUUGGGACUCGAUUUCUUUACAUGACUUGAACAAUUGAUUAUCCUUUUGUCAAUUUCACCAUUCAAGCUUAUUUUAAUAUCUUUUUUAACUUUCGACACAAAGACAUUAAAUAGUCAAUUUGGUACCGAUUUUUGGGCGUUACGAGGGUGCUAACCCUUCCUCGUGCGUAACUGACUCCCGAACCUGUUUUCAAAAUUCGCAGACCAAAAUGAUUUUUGAGGUGGGCCGGUCACACCUUAAUAAAGGAUCGGUGGCGACUCCAGUUUUAUUUUUUAACGUCGACAACUUAAAUUUUUGUUUUCAAAAAAAAAGUUUCGACACAUAUGUUUUAAGAAGGAUAUUUGAUUAUUUAAGUCAAUCGAGAAAUCAGAAUCCAGUAAGUUAGGGUUCAAUUUCUCGAAAUUCCUAAACAUCAAAUAUUGCCUUUAUUUUAAAAUCGAGAUAACAAAAUGUCAUAUCUAGUAAGUUAGGAUCCAAUAUUUUGAAAUCUUAAGAACUUUAUUUUAAAAAUUGUAUGGUCUUAAUAAAAUGAACACUUGAUUAUCUAAAUUCAUCGAGAAGAAUUGAAGCCCAGUAAGUUAUGGCACAAUUCUCUCGAGAACUUAUGAACACCAAGCUUUUUUUAGGAAUUAUGAAAUAAAAUGAUUAUAGUGCUUUAAUAAAUACAACUCUUACAAAUGGAACAUGAUUGAAUAACAAUACAUAUAAUGUAAAGAUAAAUAACAAUCUCAACUUAAACUAGAAGCAAUCAAGCAAGUAAUAGGCAAAUACAAACAUUGACUUUAAUCAUAUCAUACAAGCUUCAAUAUUAAUAAUUAAGCAACCCAUAAAUUAAUAAUCAAUUAAAAAAAAUACUUCAAGACAAUGAGAAAAAGAAAAAACAAUAAUAACAAUAAAUAAUAUGAAUAUUUGAUACAAUUUGGUAAUAGAACUAAAAAAUAAAUAAAAGGUUUGAAUGAAUUUUAAUGAAAGAUUUAUAAAAAAAAUAAAAAAUAAAAUAAUGAAAUAAAAUAAAAGUGAAUAACUUAAAAUUAAAACCUACACUUUGAUUUAUAUAAAUAAAACCUAGUAUAAAUAAUAGUAUAUACAUAGUAAUAAUACAUAUAAAAGUUAAAAUAAAUAAAAUAACAAAUUUAAAAGGAAUAAGGCUUCCGUGCAUAAAAAAAUAUCACUUGAAAUUAAUAAUAUAUUAUAUAUAUACAUAUGUAUACUAAAAAAAUAUAUUAUAUAUUUAUAUAUAUAAAAAAUAUGAGAUAUUAUUAUUAAAAAAGAUUUGAAGUUAAUUAUAUAUAUAUACAUGAACAAAAAACGUAUGUAUAAAUUAUGCUAAGAUAGUAUAAAAAAAUAUUUAUAAAAUUAAGUUAUGAAUACAUAAAAUAAUAUUAUAUAAUAAAAGAAUUUAUAGUAAAAUUAGGUUAACUAAUAUAUAUAUAUAACUAUUAAAUAUAAUAACAACAAAUAAAAUUAAUAAUAGUAAACCACUUAAUUUAAUAAAAAUGGAUCUAUUUUGAAUUCAAACAAAAUUCUAAGGGUUGAUUUGAGAUAAAUGAGCAAACGUCCGCAUUGAAAACCACUGAAAAUCACAGGGAUUACUAUAGCAAUUUAAUGCAAAAAUUUAGAAUAAUCAAAAUCAAACGUAGAAAACGACACCGUUUAGGCUUGGAUCUAAGUGAAAACAAAGUCAAAUAUGCGGUACAAAUUUUAAAAAAUAAAAGAAAUCAGAUUGAAACUAUUUGAAACAAAAAAAGGACCUGAUGAUUAAAUAGACCAAUCGAUCCAUAAUACGCGGAUCCUACCCGAAUCGAGUCACCAUUCAGAUCGGGUCCUCAAAACAAUGCCGCUUCAGAGCCAUUGCGACUCCAAAUGGCGGCGUUUUAUUCCCGCUUAAAGGCCAAAAAUCUAAAAAUCCUUUUCAUUUUCUUAAAAAAACCUAAAUAGAAUCAGAUGAGUUCUGCGCCGCUCUGUGUACUGAGGGUAUUCGAAUGGUUUCCGAUCCAAGCCCGUUCUCCGAUGACGACGGAGAGGGCCAGAAUCUCGUCACCAGGUACGUUCUCUCUUUUCUUUUUAUUGUUUCCUUCCUUAACAAACGAUUGACGAACACAAAAUAAAAGAAAGAAAAAAACUAACCUGCAAAUGAAAAAGCAAAAGAAACUCAGAAAUCACCUCUUAGUAUUUCGAUUUUUUUUUGUAUUCACUUUCUCGAAUGCGUUGUAUAACCGGUUACAAAUUUCAAUCGAUCCUCUUUAUAGCCAAACCGAGAAAAAGAAAAAAAUAAAAUAAAAUUUUCUCUAUUUUUUUACACUUUCUUCCUAUUUACUGCUAGUAUUUGCUGUCAAUAUGUUAUUGUUGCCCCUCUCUUUGCUGUUGCUAUCUGUUUUGCUGCUUGUUUCUUUGUCCUUCUUACAGGUACGGCGUACGGAGGGUGAACGUGGCGUGUGGAGGCGUCGCGUGCAUGCAAUGGAGAGCAGAGAGGUGCUACUGCUGCAGCGCUAGGAGCCAUUGCUGCUAGGGUUUUUUUGAAACUGUUUUGGGUUGUAUUGGGCUGAGUUGGUUUGCUGGGCUUAGAAUCGGGUUUAGGGAAGGUUUUGGGCUUUGUUGAUUCGGGCCGAUGUAAUUGGACUAUUUAUUUGUAAAUGAACUUUUAAUAUUUUUUGUUUUUGUUAUCUAUAUUGGGUCGGGCAAUAUUGGGCCAUUAUAGUGAUUAUACACAAAAACUGUAAUAGAAGAAGCAUGCUAAACUAAACUCUUAACAUGAGAUGUUUUACCAACAUCUUUCAAAAUUAAAUUGAUAGAAGGUGCUGCACAUGGUGACCAAAAGAUGUUAGGAUACUUCUCAUUAAAAAUUUUCCUAUUAGCUUUGUAAUUUGCAGCAUUAUAUGUAAUUAGCUAGACCACAUUGCUUAAUCCAACAAUCUUUACAAUCUUCGCAAACAAAUUGCAAAGAGUAUCAACAUCUAAAAUCAUGUCUGAUGCAUUAUCAAAUUUGAUAAAGCAUAAUCUUUUAGGAAAAUACACUAGAAAAUUGGUUGAUGACUUUUGUCUCUAUCUUUCUACCCUCUCCCAUUAUAGUGCAUCCACAUUCCACCAAAAUGUUGUAAAUCCCUUUUUGAGUAUUCUAGUAUAUUGGUUCACAAUGUAUGAUAUGAUGGAGCUUUGUAUCCCAAUCCUAUAGAUGCUAUGGCAUCAAGGUACAGUAGAAACUUGUCAAUCCCUCGACGCUAUUUGUGGAAUCUAAAAACUCCACUAGCAAUAUAUCAAAUAAAUUCUUUUAUUUUUUUAAUAUUUUACUAUACCCCUAGAGAACACUUAUCAAUCUCCUGACCUUACUUGUAGAGUCUAAAAACUUUAUUGGUAAUGUACCAAAUGAUAUUCCAAAUAAAAAAGCAUUAAUUUUACAGUUUACUUUUUUUAUUCCUCAAGCAUCCUUAAAAAAUUGACAUUUUCAUUUUUUUUAAUAUCUAUUUUUUAAAUAUUUUCUAUACUCCUAGAAGACAUUUGUCCGCCCUAAUCAUGCUUAUAAAGUCUAAAAACUUUGCUAAUUGUGUAUAAAAUAUUUUCCUUAAUUUUGAAAUGUAAUUUUUAUUUAGUUCCAAUAUUGUUUAUGUACAAGCCCAAUUUUAGCCCGGGCCUAAGACCCAAUUACAAACCCAAAUUAAACCUAACCAAGCCCAAUCCUAAACAAAACCUAAACGACCCAAAAUGGCCCAACACAAAAAAGAAACAGGAAACCCUAAGCCUUAGUUUGCAGCCGCGCCUAGCUAGCGUCUAGCCGCCACUGUCCACGCCACUUGCUCUGCCAUCGUCGGACCUAACUUCUGUCAUCGCCGUACCUAACCCCUUCCCACUGUCACGUCGACCACCCCACUUGCGCCGUCACCUGUAAGACACGCAAUAGGAACAGAAACAAUAGCAAAGUAAUGAAUCGGCUAUAAAAGAGCCAGAAAAAGUUUGUAUUUUGUUUGGAGACUAUCGAACACAAAGAAAAUUUCAAUCAAAAAAAUCAAAAAAGGUUUACUCCCAUUUUAAUUCUUGUUUCAUUAUUAUUAUGUCUUGCUAUUUUAUUUUUCAUAUCUUUACACACGAAAAUAAAGCAAAAAAAAAAGAAAAAAAGAAAUGGGAGAAGAACCUACCGGAGUCGAUCUACGUCUUUGUCGUCGGAGGCUCCUUCUCCGGUGACAGAAUCGGCUAUAGGGAAACGUUGAUGGCCCUUUUGUUUUUUUUUUAGUGUUUUGAGAUCGAAUUUGGGCUAAAGGGGGUUAAGAUCUAGAAAAUAGGUCUUUUUGCCUUCGCCGGCCACCGUGCGCGGCAGCGCCGAUGCCGACGACGGGAGUCCGGCAUGGUGAUCGUCAGUCGGAGCAUGGACCGGAGGAAGGGGGAUUUUGAGAGAGAUUUCAGGUUUUUUUUAAGGAAUGGCAGAAAAUGAAAUUUUAAGGGAAAAAUUUGAUUUAUAUUGGCAUUUAGAACGGCGCCGUUUUGCUAUUAACGGUUAGGUGCCAAAACGACGAUGUUUGGCCUUGAUCCGCGCGGUGACCCUACCCAGGGGAAAGGAUCUGCGUGUUUUGCUUUAGCGGGAUAUUUGCACAAACGGUCCCUCCUCUUUUGCAGUAAGAUGCAAUCGAGUCUUUCUAUUUUUUAUAUUUUGACCUCGAAAAUUUUGUACUUGUUCCAAUUCGUUCCCGCGCGAAAUGCUGCGCACAAGGGGGCUAGAAUAUUUGUUCAUUCGCCCCCUAGUGUUUCAAGCGCAUUACGGAUCAGACCUUUAUCCUAUAUUUUAUUAUUUCGAAUGCUUACCUUGAAAUAUUAUUUAGUUUCCAAUUUAAUACAUAUAUCCCACAUGUUUUAUAAUCCAUAUAUAUACAUACGUCUUUUAUAUUUUAUAAUUUUAAAAUAUGUACAUGCAUACGUUUCUUUUUAUAAUAUAUACAUAAUUUAUAAUUCAUAUAUAUAUUUUAUAUUUAUAAUUUCUAUAUGCGUGUAGGUAUAUAUAUAUCUACAUAUGUAUUUUUUAUUUUUUUUUCAAAUAUAUACAUACUUAUAUAUUUUUCAUAAUUUUUAUGUACAUAUAUAUAUGCAUACUUUUAUAUUCAAUAAUAUAUUUUUCAUAUUUUCAUAAAUUUAUGUACAUACAUAUACAUAUAUAUCUUUUUACAUUUUUAUAAUUUUAUUCCUUUUCUUUACUUAUUUCUUUGUUUACAUUUUUAUUAUUAUUUUAAAAGAAUGUUUUAAUCUUAUUUGCCUAUGUGCUUGAUAUUUUGUAUGCUAUUGAUUUAUCCUUUUUAUUUAACUUAUUUUUGUUGCUAUUGCUCGUAUUAUUUAUGUUUAUGUCAUUGUAUCCAUUUUUAUUUCGUUACUUAUAUUGAUACCGUAUUUUAUUUCAACUAUUUCGAGUUAGAUUAAUUUUAUUUAAUACAUAAAUUAUGAUUUUUGAAUAAACAAAAUUUCGUAUUUAGAUUUGACAAAGUCGUAUCCUAACUUACUGGGUUUUGAUUUUCACAAUAAAUCUAAAUACACGUAUCUUUUCAAACUCAAGUUUUAAAUGAUCUCGGGAAUUAAGAAAAGAUCGUGUCCUAACUUACUGGGCAUGAUCCCCUUUUUUAAUUCGAGAUAGCUAAAUGUCUCUUAAAUAAGUAAAUUUUCGGCAUUCAUUCGCGCAUCUGGAAUUCAAGAUAUUGUGUCCUAACUUAUUGAAUAUAAUUCUCUUUCUCGAUUAACGUGAAAUAUGUUAUUUUCCUACAAAUUUUCAACAUUUCAAUAAAGGAUCGUAUUUUAAAUUUCUUUAAAGUUUUCAAUCUUCGACACUAAGACAUUAAUUAAUCAACUAGGUACCAAUUUUGGGCGUUACGAGGGUGCUUGUCCUUCCUCGUACGUAACCGACUCCUGAACCCAUUUUUCUGAAUUUUGUGGACCAAAAUCGUUGUUUUAAUAAAAUUAAAUUGUUUAUUAGAAACAACCACUUUACGAGGUGAGCCGAUCACACCUCAUCAAAAAGGAUCGGUGGCGACUCCCAUAUUCGUUUUCAUUUUCAAAUCCAAGUCAACCCCAUUUUAUCAAAAAAAUGGUGUCAACAGCUUGGCGACUCUACUGGGGAUCAAAAUAAGUGAGCCAAACCACGAGUUGAUUACUUUUUGCUUUUUUGUCGAAAAUUGAAAACUUGGUUUAAAUAUACGAUCCUUUCGUUGCAUUUCAUUGGUCUUUAUUACGAUCUUCAUCAUUGUGGUUUAUAAUUGUUGUGUUAGUUUAAGUUUUAGUAUCUUUCUGCACAUUGCAUUGCAUGACCGUUGGUCACACCCUUUUAAGUGGGAGUGAGAAACUACGCCUUCGUGAGGUUUUCACCUCCGUAUGGGAUAGUGAAUCGAUUUCGGGAUACAUCCGUACCAAUGUCUUCAUGAGAUUUUCAUCUCCGCAUAGCCAUAGGGAAAUGUAUUCCCCUGAACUGAACUCGGUCCAUAUGAGCAUAUAAUGGGUGAUGAUUGAGGAAUUUACCAGUUCGGGUACCUCAACUUUAGAACCAAACCACAUAUAGUGAACCUUAGGAACCUACCUAGGUAGAACUAUGCCAAACCCCUAGUGGUCACCCAAAUAGGCGCUUUAUGUAUUUCUUUCCUGCUUGCUUUUCAUUUGCACUAACCUAUUUUCUUUUGUUUUGGUUAUAAUUGCAUUGCAUUUUCAUCAUAGAAAAGAGGUGUUGAUUCACGUUCAGUAUCUAAAUAGAGAGCUUGUCAUAAGAAAAUGAGUUUCUUGAUAAAAUGAAAGAUAAUGCGGUCGUCCGACUACGGUCCGAGAAAACGUAAUAAGGCAAAGGUGAUAGUCUGAUUAAUGAAUACAUAACUUUACUUCGUGACCUGAGGAUUCAAGCUGAAAAAGAUUAUUUAUAAAGCCGUCGCACUUUCUUAAAAAAGCUAACGAGCAUCACGAAGAUGACUGAGCGAUGAGCUGCAGCCCGGAUCAAGCAAAAAGGAGCUAGUAGAGACAUCUACUAAAAAUUCGCGAGAUUUAUCCUAGCAUCCGGAUGAGGAAAAGAUCGAUGUCUUCGCCUGGAGUAUGAGGGAAAGGCCGUAUAAGUAUCCAUUUUAUGUAAAAAGAUUCGUUUUCUAGAAAAGUUGUUCUAAUAGAAUUAAAUCAAAAUUAACGCCUCUCCUCUUUUGCAUUCAUAGCAUUUAUUGCAUUCAUGCAUUAGCUUUGCAUUGCAUCAUACACAUUAAAUAUCACAAAAUAACCCUAAAAUUUUGGUAGUUAUCCUAGAAUAUCGGUACACGAGGAAAAACCAAAGUAAUGGACCAAAGAUUGGAAAGACUUGAACAACUCCAAAGGUAGAGGUAGGACCAGCUACUGCUGCAAGAGCGUUAGCUAAGGUCCAACAAAAUAUGAUGGACAAUAAAAAAAUGAAGUUCUGUGAAUGAGUUAAAAGAAAUGUUCACAUCAAUGCCAUACAUGAAGGUAAUUGAAAAUGGACCUUGUUAGAUAUCCACUCUUAUAAACUUAGGAGUGUUCUAAAUAAAUCAGACUGUAGAAAAAAUCUCUAUAGUAUUUAGAGUUUACUUAGAGUAAUGUUCAGAACACACUUUUUGCAUUCAACCUAGAGGCAAUAAGAACUCCUUUAUGAAAUAGGCUCAUGUCUGAACGUCAUUAUUUUAAUACAUCUUUGUGAUCAUUUUUAAGUCAAUAUUCUUUCACCCUUUUUAAAAAAUCAUUUUUGAUUCUUUUGGAUUUUGUUCCAAAUCAUUCUUUCAUUCAUUCAUAGUCAUAUUGUACAAAUAAUUAUUCAUAAUUUUAUACAUUUUUUUGUAUUUGUACCCACAAUAGGUCUCUAGAUAUCAAUGACAUGAGUGACGCUGAUACAGACUUAGAAUCUCUUUUUGAGUGAGACAAGUGUUUAGGGAGAUCUCAUAAAUUUGAAGAUGACAUAGAUUGUAGCCUAUUUUCAGACAUGUUAAGGAUGGUAGAACAAGUUAAGAAACAGAUCAUGCCUUACAAGGAAUCAAGUGGAAAUUGUAAGCUUAGGAAAAGAGAAAGAGGUGAAGACCGGAGCCUGUAUCACUAUAGAGACAAAGCGAGACGGCAUUAAGUUACUUUAAAAAUUCAAAGAUGUUUUCGCAUGAUUGUACCAAGAUAUGCCUGAACUACUAAGACGUAUGGAUGUUAUUAAGGCUAAGAAAAUCUUGAAAGUGGUCUAUAAGGGUGUUUGAGGAACACAUAAUAAUGGUUUUACAAUGGCCAAGCAAAUCAUGAUAUUCGGGUACUGCUGGUCCACCAUAGAAGGGGAUUGCAUCAGUUGUACCAAGAAAUGUCAUAAGUACCAAAUUUAUGAGACAAGAUUUAUGUGCCUCCUUCAUCCCUUCAUGUUAUGACUUUUCCAUAGACUUUCUCUAUGUGGGGCAUAGAUGUUAGUGGGUCAAUCUCAACUAAAGCUUCUGACGGUCAUCGAUUCAUCUAUCUGGUCAUCGAUUACUUUACUAAGUGGGUGGAAGCUGCUUCAUAUGCCAAUGUCACGAAGUCGACAGUCAGCAAAUCCUCGAAAAAUCAUAUCUUUUUAUGGAAUGCCAAAAGGAUCAUAUUUGACAAUACACCAAAUUUGAACAGCGGCACGAUAGCGAAAGUUUGUAGUCUAUUCAAGAAUAGCACCAUGCCGCUCUAAAGUGAACAGUGCAAUAAAAAGUCGAAACAAAAGAAAAAGAAAAACUCUGCUGGGGCAAUGCCUUUCACCUAGGCUUAUCGCGGUUUUUCCUAUUAAAGACAAGAUUCUUUCUUUCUGAGUUUUUUUGAAUCUAACCCGAUUGAAGAGGAAUGUUCAAAGUUAUAUGCCAUGGUCAAAUAUGCAAAAAGCAAAUAAUACGAGCAAAAAAAUUUUGCCCUAGAGGGUUCCAUGAGAGGGACCUGGUAUUGAAGAAUAUCCUUCCCAUACAAAAAGAACUUUAUAAGAAAGUGGAUGCCAAACUGGAAAGGACCUUAUGUGGAAGGCCUUAUCUAGGAAAGCAUUAAUUUUGAUCAGAAGGGAUAUCAAGGACAUGCCUAAUCCUAUGAAUUUAGAUUCAAUCAAAAAAAUAUGUCCAAAAAAAUGAAGAUGAUGAAAAAUAAAAGAAAAGAAAAAGAAAAAAGAGAAUGAAAAAGUCAAAAGGAGAGGCCAAGGUGAAAACCCGCAAGGGUGCCUUGAGACCAAAGGGGAUUUAAGUUGAAAACCCAAAAAGAGCGGCUCAAUUUUUUUAUCAGAAUGGGGCAUGAGGUGAUCAUAGCAGCUCAAAUUUUGAUCAGAAUGGGUCAUGUGGUGGUAUUGACAUACCUGAAUCAGCAGGAAAGGGGUGUGCAACAUCUUGAGGCACCAACAAAGUCCUGUAGAUCUCCUAAACACGUGUCAAACUCAGAAUGAUCUUCAGAAAGUUUGUACAGAGAAGUUCAAGCUGCAAUAUCUGGGGCACCUAGUCUUCAAACUAUUUAUAUUGAAUUUUUUAUUCUUGGAAUACUUCAUUCUCUUUCAAGAUACGUGUUCCCAAUCAAUUUCUUUUUUAUUCUUGCUAUCCUUGAUAAUUUAUUUCAAGCGAUGCUCCCAAAUCAAUUUUAUUUUUUUUCGUCAUAAUAUUUUCCAAGCAUGUUGCAUUGGAAUAAUGAUUAAUGGACUAAUAAUACUUUUACAAAGGAAGUUUUGCAUAUUACUCUAGAAGUUUCUAAAUAAUAUAGGAACCUGAAAUAGGACUACUGUUUAGAAAUCACCAAGUUUAAAGGUUGAAAUAUCUAAGAAGAAAAAGUCUAAUUUAAUAUAAUCCUUUUGGAUUUUGUCGUCAAAACAUUGAUUGAACAAAAUAACAAGAUGUCAGAGCUUCAAUGAACAAACAAGCAAUGUUCACCAAGCAAUAGGAAGAGGUUUUCUAGAGAAGAAAAUUUUACAAUUGUGCAUAAACAUUUGGUACGACACCUUGGGAAUGGUGUAAGGCUAAAGAGAUUCAAGUCUUGUAUCCUUGAAUUACAGUGGGAAGAGGAUGGUUCGAAUUUUAUGUCCCAAAAUUACAAUGGACUUAACCUUAAAGAUUACAGCUGAUUGAACUUUGAAGAUUACAGUGGGGACAAUCCGGUUACGUAAGAGAUGAGUGUUACCAGCCGAACAAGAUAGCAUUCUGACGUGUUGGCAAUAAAGCCUUAUUGAACAAUAAGCAAUAACAACUCGAACAUUGAGGGAUCAUUUCUCAUGACAUUUUUACAUUCAUGCAAAUAUCAUUCAUACACAUCUAGUGAGGAGUAUUUGAUUCAUUUUGAUCAUGACAUCCUAAUCACUAGGCAUAAAUAGGUCUAUGAAAUGGAUUCUACAGGUCAUGUUCCUCAGAGAAUAGAUAAAUGAAGUUACCUAUACUCCUGGCAGUGUAGUGGAGUAGGUUGAAGCUACAACGGUGAAUCUUACUUCCCUGACUUUGCAAUUAAAAAGAUUGAAGCCAUAACAGCAAAUCUUACUUCCCUGACGAUGCAGUGGAACAGAUUAAAGCUACAACGAUGAAUCUUGCUUCCCCGACAUUGCAAUUAAAAAUAUUGAAGCCACAACGACGAAUCUUACUUCCCUGGCAGUGCAGUGGAAUAUAUUGAAGCUAAACGGUGAAUCUUGCUUCCCCGACAUUGCAAUUAAAAAGAUUGAAGCCACAAUAGCGAAUCUUACUUCUCUAGCGGCGCAAUAGAAUAGAUUGAAGUACAACGACGAAUCUUGUUUCCCUGACAUUGUAGUUAAUCAGACUGAAGAUAACGAUCUUACUUCCCUGAAGUUGUAGUGGAACAAAUUGAAGCUAUAAAUUACCGAUCUCAUCCCCUAAAGUUGCAGUGGAGUAGACAAAAGAAACCAAUCCUAUCUCCUUGAAAUUGCAGUAGAGCAGAUCGCAUCUAAUCUUAUCUCCCUGAAGUUGCAGUGGAGCAGAUUGAAGAAAUCAAUCCUAUCUUCCUGAAGUUAUAGUGAAACGGAUUAAAAUGAUGGAUCUUAUCUCUCUGAAGUUGCAGUAGAGCAGAUCGCAUCAGACUUUAUUUUCUUAAAGAUGCAGUAAAACAAGUUGAAGCUACAAGUCUUAUCUCACUGAGGAUGCAGUGUAGCAGACUGAAGAUAGCAAAUGUUUCCUCGAAGAGCCACAGAUCUUAUCUCUCUGAAGUUACAGUAUAGCGGAUCACACCACAACAAGUCUUAUCUCCCUAAAGUUGCAGUGAAGCAGACUGAAGAUAUCAAACCUUAUCUCCCUGAAGCUGCAGUGGAGCAAGUUGAAGCAACAAGUCUUAUCUCCCUGACGUUAUAGUGGAAUAGACUAAAACUAGGAAUCUUGCCCCCUAAAGUUACAACAGAGUGGAUUGAAGCUACAAGUCAUAUCUCUCUGAAGUGCAGUAGAAUGGAUCGAAGCAACAAGACACAGUGGACUGGAAUGAAGCUAUUGAAAGAAGAUGAACACUAGAAUAAGUCAAGAUUCGACGAGACCGGGAAAAAUUGGUCUUUUUUAGUCUUUGCUCUGUUCUCGUUACACGACAACGAGCAAAGAGGGACAGCUGUACAUGCCCAAUUUUAGCUAGGGCCUAAGACCCAAUUACAAAUCCAAAUUAAACCUAUCCCAAACCCAAUCCAAAACAAAGCCUAAACGGCCCAAAAUGGCCCAACACAAAAAAGAAACAGGAAACCUUAAGCCCUAGUUUGCAGUCGCGCCUAGCUAGCGUCUAGCCGCCACUGUCCACGCCACUUGCUCUGCCAUCGCCGCACCUAACUUCUGUCAUCGUCGCACCUAACCCCUGCCUACUGUCACGUCGACCACCCCAUUUGUGCUGUCACCUGCAAGACACGCAAUAGCAACAGAAACAAUAGCAAAGUAAUGAAUCGGCUAUAAAAGAGCCAAAAAAAGUUUGUAUUUUUUUUGGAGACUAUCAGAUACAAAGAAAAUUUCAAUAAAAAAUAUCAAAAAAGGUUUACUCCCAUUUUAAUUCCUGUUUCAUUAUUAUUCUGUCUCGCUAUUUUAUUUUUCAUGUCUUUACACACAAAAAUAAAGCAAAAAAAAAAGGAAAAGGGAGAAGAACCUACCGGAGUCGAUCUACAUCUUUGUCAUCGGAGGCUCCUUCUCCGGUGACGAAAUGGCUGUAAGGAAAUGCUGAUGGCCCUUUUUCUUUUUUCUUUUUUGGUAUUUUGAGACCAGAUUUGGGCCAAAGGGGGUUGAGAUCUAGAAAAUAGGUCUUUUUGCCAUCGCCAGCCACCGCAUGCAGUAGCGCCGACACCGGCGACAGGAGUCCGACACGGUGACCGUCGAUCGGAGCAUGGAUCGGAGGAAGGGGAUUUUUGAGAGAGAUUUCAGGUUUUUUUAAGAAGGGCAAAAAAUGAAAUUUUAAGGAAAAAAUUUGAUUUAUAUAGGCAUUUAAAACAAUAUCGUUUUGCUAUUAAGGGUCAGGUGCCAAAACGACGCUGUUUGGUCCUAACCCGCGCUGUGACCUAACCCAGGAGGAAGGAUCCACAUGUUUUGCUUUAGCGGGAUAUUUGCACAAACGGUCCCUCCGCUUUUGCAGUAAGAUGCAAUCGGGUCUCUCUGUUUUUUAUAUUUUGACUCCGAAAAUUUUGUACUUGUUCCAACUCGAUCUCGCACGAAAUGCUGCGCACAAAGGGGCUGGAAUAUUUGUUCAUUCACCCCUAGUGUUUCCAGCGUAUUACGAAUCGGUCCUUUAUCCUAUAUUUUAUUGUUUCGAAUGCUUACCUUGAAAUAUUAUUUAGUUUCCAAUUUAAUACAUAUAUCCCACAUGUUUUAUAAUCCAUAUAUAUACAUACGUCUUUUAUAUUUUAUAAUUUUAAAAUAUGUACAUGCAUACGUUUUUUUAUAAUAUAUACAUAUUUUAUAAUUCAUAUAUAUAUUUUAUAUUUUAUAAUUUCUAUAUGCGUGUAGGUAUAUAUAUAUCUACAUAUGUAUUUUUUUUUAAUUUUUUUUUCAAAUAUAUACAUACUUAUAUAUUUUUCAUAAUUUUUAUGUACAUAUAUAUAUGCAUACUUACAUAUACUUUUAUAUUCAAUAAUAUAUUUUUCAUAUUUUCAUAAAUUUAUGUACAUACAUAUACAUAUAUAUCUUUUUACAUUUUUAUAAUUUUAUUCCUUUACUUUACUUAUUUCUUUGUUUACAUUUUUAUCAUUAUUUUAAAAGAAUGUUUUAAUCUUAUAUGCCUAUGUACUUGAUAUUUUGUAUGCUAUUGAUUUUUUCUUUUUAUUUAACUUAUUUUUGUUGCUAUUGCUCGUAUUAUUUAUGCUUAUGUCAUUGUAUUCAUUUUUAUUUCAUUACUUAUAUUGAUACCGUAUUUUAUUUCUACUAUUUCGAGUUAGAUUAAUUUUAUUUAAUACAUAAAUUAUGAUUUUUGAAUAAAAAAAUUUUCGUAUUUAGAUUUGAGAAAGUCGUACCCUAACUUACUAGGUUUCGAUUUUCAUAAUAAAUCUAAAUACACGUAUCUUUUCAAACUCAAGUUUUAAACAAUCUCGGGAAUUAAGAAAAGAUCGUGUCCUAACUUACUGGGCAUGAUCCCCUUUUUUAAUCCGAGAUAGCUAAAUAUCUUUUAAAUAAGUAAAUUUUCGGCAUUCAUUCGCAUAUCGAGAAUUCAAGACAUUGUGUCCUAACUUACGGGAUAUAAUUCUCUUUCUCGAUUAACGUGAAAUAUGUCAUUUUCCCGCAAAUUUUCAACAUUUCAAUAAAAAAUCGUAUUUUAAAUUUCUUUAAAGUUUUCAAUCUUUGACACUAAGACAUUAAUUAAUCAACUAUGUACCAAUUUUGGGUGUUACGAGGGUGAUGAUCCUUUCUCGUACGUAACUGACUCCCGAACCAAUUUUUCUGAAUUUCGUGGACCAAAAUCGUUUGUCGAAACCACUUUUUGAAAAAAAAUGUAGUUGUCGACUUUAAAAACAAAAAACUGGAGUCGCCAUCGAUCCUUUAUUAAGGUUUGAUCGGCUCACCAUAAAAACUAUUUUGGUCUACGAAACUUGAGAAAACGGGUUUGAGAGUCAGUUACGCACGAGGAAGGGUUAGCACCCUCGUAAUGCCCAAAACUCGGUACCAAAUUGAUUAUCUAAUGUCUUAAUGUCGAGGAUUAAAAAGAUUUUUUAAAAACACUCAAAUGAUGAAAUCUAAAAAGGAUAAUCAAUUGUUCAAGUCAUAUAAAGCAAUCGAGUCCCAAUACGUUAGGGUACGAUUUCUCAAAAUCCCUGAACUUUGAAUAUCGCUUUUAUUUCAUGCGAAAAUAUUCAUUUUGAGAAAGCAAUAUGCCAUGCCCAAUACAUUAGGACACAACAAGUUAAGUUCCCAAAAAUGAUUUUUAUACUCAUGCAUUUUGAAUAAAGAAUAUUCUCGGUCAUUUAAAAUUAACGAAGAAAAUCAGAACCCAAUGCGUUAGGGCUCAAUUUCCUUGAAAAUCUCAAACUUUGAAUAUUGCUUUUAUUCAAAAAGCUUCGAAUCAAGAGAAAAUGAUUUUGAUAUAUUGACAAAACCAAAAUAUAUUUCUCAAAGGGUAUGUUUAAAGUUAGUGUACAAUAUGAAAUAAAUACUUUAAUUUAAAAUGUACAUGUAUUCAAAGCAACGAUCACAAAAAACGUAAAAAUUAUCAAAAACUAAAAUCAAACUAACCUUGAAUUGAAAUCCCUAAGAUGGUCGAAUGCUAAAGCUUGAAGAACAAAGUUUCUUGCUUUUAUUUUCAGUGGAAAAAGGUGAAGAAAAUGACUUUAUUUUAUAAUAUUUAUGAUAUAAUAUACAUUAUUAUUCUUUUACUAUUUUCACCUUUGUAAAAUAAUAUUGAAAACAUAUAAUGCUUGGAUUUUUAGCCAUCUUGCCGUCCACUAUCUUUUAAAUGGGCUUAUUGCCCUUUUUAGGACUUCAAGUUAAAAAGCCAUUACCAAAUAGGUAUUUUACACUUUAACUAACAACUUUUACUUUUUAUACAAUUUAGUACUUUUAUCAAAUUAAACACAAAAACGGCCAAAUAAAUUUACGAAAUUUUCACACAAUCAAAUUCAAAUAUCACAGACACAGAAAAUAAUAUUAAAAUAUUUUUUAGACUCGGAUUUAUGGUCUCAAAACUACUAUUCUGAUUAGGGUUAAAACCAGGUUGUUACAACUCUUCCCCCUCAGGGAUUUUCGUCCCCGAAAAUCUUACCAGUGAAUAGGUUGGGAUAACGUUCUUUCAUCGAGUCUUCUAAUUCCCAAGUUGCUUCCUUAACCCCGUACUUUUGCCACAAUACUUUGACUAACGAAAUUUUCUUAUUUCGUAAUUCUUUGAUCUCACGAGCCAGAAUGCUAAUCGGUUCUUCUUCAUAUGACAUAUCAGGGUUAAUUUCAAUCUCGGUCGGGGUAAUCAGAUGUGAAGGAUCGGAUCUGUAUCUACGAAGUAUCGAAACAUAAAAUACAUUAUGAAUCUUUUCUAACUCAGAUGGCAACAACAAUUUAUAAGCAACCGGCCCGAUAUGUUCUAUAAUCUCAUAUGGUCCAAUAAAUCUCGAGCUUAAUUUACCUUUGUGACCAAAUCUGAGUACUUUCUUCCACAGUGAGACUUUCAAAAACACUUUGUCCCGAUUUGAAAUUCUAUAUCCUUUCUUUUCAAGUCCGCAUAAGAUUUCUAACGAUCCAAUGCUGAUUUCAAACUAUCCCGAAUUACUUUCACUUUUUGUUCAGUCUCUUUAAUCAAAUCGACCCCGUGUAUCUUAUUUCACUAAGCUCGGUCCAAUACAAUGGUGUACGACAUUUACGACCGUACAAAGCCUCGUAAGGUGCCAUUUUGAUACUAGAUUGAAAGCUAUUAUUAUAUGCAAAUUCAAUCAGAGGUAAGUAUCGUUCCCACGUACCUUCAAACUCAAGAAUGAAACAUCUCAACAUAUCCUCAAGUAUCUGAAUGAUUCACUCAGAUUGACCAUCUAUUUGUGGAUGAAAAGCUAUGCUAAAAUGUAAUUUCGUACCUAAAGCAUCUUGUAGUUUCUUCCAAAAUCGUGAUGUGAACCUCGGGUCUCUGUCCGAAACAAUAGAAAUAGGCACACCAUGCAACCUCACAAUUUGAGAAAUAUACAAUUUGGCAAGUUUAUCGAGUGGGAAAUCUGUGCGGAUCGGAAUAAAGUGUGUCGAUUGUGUCAACCUAUCAACAAUAACCCAGAUUGCAUCUUUCUUACUAGGUGUCAACGGUAAAUCAGAUACAAAAUCUGUCGUGACUCGGUCCCAUUUCCACUCGGGAAUCAUAAUCGACUGAAGUAAUCCAAAUGGUACUUGAUACUCAGCUUUAACUUGCUGACAAAUUAAACAUUUUGAAACAAAUUUAGAAAUAUCUCGUUUCAUACCAUGCCACCAAUAGUUCUGUUUCAGAUCGUUAUACAUUUUCGUACUACCCGGAUGAAUAGAAAAUAGACUAUUAUGAACUUCAUUAAAAAUCAUCUGAAUUAACUUUAAAUUUCUCAGAACACAUAAUCUGUUUUUGAAUCUCAAACAAUCCUCAGCAUCAACUAGAAACUCCGAAUCAACAUUUAAGUCACACUGAGCUCGUUUUGCAAUUAAAUCAUCAUCGACUUUAUGAGCUUCACAAAUCUGCUGAACAAAUAACAGUUUUGCUUUUAACUUAGUUAUUAUCACACCAGCAUCAGACAUAGCCAUAUGCGCUUUCAUUGCAUGCAAAGCAAACAAUGAUUUUCGACUUAAGGCAUCAACGACAACAUUAGCCUUUCCCGAAUGAUAGUCAAUCAAAAGCUCGUAAUUUUUUAGCGAUUCUAACCAUCAGUGCUGUCUCAAAUUCAGAUCUUUCUAAGUCAUCAAAUACUUUAGGCUUUUAUGAUCGGAAUAAACAUGAUAUUUUUCGCCAAACAGGUACUGGCACCAUAUUUUCAAUGUAAACACAAUAGCGGCCAAUUUCAGAUCGUGCGUCGGAUAGUUCUUUUCGUGCGGCUUUAACUUUCUCAAGGCAUAGGCUACAACUUUGCCUUCCUGCAUCAAAACACAACCCAAACCAUUUAAAGAUGCAUUACUAUAGAUAACAGACUCUUUACCCAAUUAUGGCUGAACUAAUACUGGAGCUUCGGUCAAAAGAACCUUCAACUGAUCGAAACAUUUCUGGCACUUUUCUGACCACUCAAACUUAACGUCUUUUUGUAGUAGCUUUUUCAUCAGGGUUGCAAUCAUAGAGAACCCUUUCACGAACCGUCUAUAAUAACCAGUAAGUCCCAGAAAACUUUGAACUUUUGAAACAUUUCUCGGAGGUUUCCAAUCAAGUAUAGCUGAAAUCUUACUCGGAUCAACCCGAAUACCUGAUGCUGAUAUAGCAUGGCCCAAGAAACUAACUUCGCUUAACAAAAACUCACAUUUACUGAAAUUUGCAUACAACAGUUUAUCUCGUAAAGUUUGUAACACAAGUUUCAAAUGUUCGGUAUGCUCUGCCUCAUUACGGGAGUAGAUCAGAAUGUCAUCUAUGAAUGCUAUCACAAAUCGAUCCAGAUACUGUCUAAAAAUUUGAUUCAUCAAAUCCAUGAAAAUAGCAUGUACACUAGUAAGUCCAAAAGACAUAACAAGAAACUCAUAAUGUCCGUACCUCGUUCGAAAAACAGUCUUUGACACAUCAGAGUCUUUAACUCGUAACAGAUAGCAGCCUGAUCUCAAAUCUAUCUUCGAAAACACAAUAGCCCCUUUUAACUGAUCGAAUAAAUCAGCAAUCCAUGGUAAUGGAUACUUAUUCUUUAUUGUCACCUUAUUGAGCUGUCGGUAAUCAAUGCACAUUCUCAUCGUUCUGUCUUUCUUUCUCACGAAUAGAACUAGAGCACCCCAAGGAGAGAAACUCUGUCGUGCGAAACUUUUAUCAGUCAACUCUUGCAACUGUGCUAUCAAUUCUUUUAAUUCAGUCGGUGCCAUACGGUAAGGAGCUAUCAAAAUUAGAGUCGUCCCCGGUAUUAACUCAAUACCAAACUCUACCUCUCGAAUAGGUGGCAAACUCGAUAAUUCUUCGAGAAACAGGCCUGAAUACUCACAUACAAUUGGCAUGGAUUCAAUCUUCUUUUCGGUCACUUUACUAUCAAGAACAAAUGCAAGGUAAGCUUCACAACCUUUUUUCACAUACUUCUGAGCCAACAUCGAGGAUAUUACUGCUGGUAAACCAUUCAGAUCAUUAGAUUCAAUCCAAAUAAUCUCAUCAUUUUAACAUCGUAGAUCAAUAGUUUUUCGUUUGUAGUUUACAAUAGCAUCAUGCAAAGUUAACCAAUCCAUACCCAAAAUUAUAUCAAACUCGUCGAAUGGCAGCAACAUCAAAUCAUCCAGAAAACAUAAAUCUCGAAUCAUCAGCAGAUAAUUCUUACACACUUUGUCAACCAAAACACACCGGCUCAGGGGGUUUGAUACUUUAAUUACAAAUUCAGUAGACUCAACAGGCAAAGUCUUGCUGAAUACUAAAGUCUCACAUACAUAAGAAUGAGUCAAACUAGGAUCAAUCAAUGCAAUAUCACUAGUAUCAUAAAGAGUGAAAAUACCAGUAAUAACGUCUAGGGAUGACGCCUCAUCACGUGCUCGAAUGGCAUAAGCUUUGGUAGGUGCGCGAGCUUCAGAUCUAACAGAUGUAUCUUUAGUACCUCUCUGACUACCACUCACAUUACCCAUAUUCCUGGGUGAUUUACCUCGAGCUGCUGUGUUGCCUAAUCUCGUAUUCUGAGCCAAAUUUCGAUCCACAAACUCUGGGCACUCCCGAAUAAAAUGAUCUUCCGAUCUACAUUUAUAACAAACUCAAUUAUUGUACUUGCCCCAACACUCACCAACAUGUCUCCUACCACACUAUUGGCACUCAGGUUUAUUCGGUCGGGUAUUACCAACACUAACAACUGAGGUGGCUCUUGAACUCAUUGGUGGUCGUUCUUGUAUAGAAAGCCCAGUAGUAUCCUUAGAUUGGCUACUAACAUCUCUGAACUUCUUUGUUGUCAUCUGAAAAGUUUUAUUCGCUGAUUUCUUGCGGAAAUCACUUGCUUCAAACUCAGCUUUUCUUUUCUAUUUGCUGAAUUCUUCAGCCUUGCAAGCUCGCUCGACGAGUACUACAAACUCUUUUAUUUUGAGUAUGCCGACAAGCAAUUUUAUGUCUUUAUUCAACCCUUCCUCGAAUCUUUUACACAUAGCAGUCUCGGUCGCAACACGCUAUCGGGCAUAUCAGUUGAGUCUCACAAACUCACGCUCAUAAUCAAAUACAGUCAUACGAUCCUAUUUUAGCUCAAGAAAUUCUUUGCAUUUUUGAUCAAUGAAUCGCUAACUGAUAUACUUUUUGCGAAAUUCUGUCUGAAAGAAAUCUCAUGUGACACGCUCUUUCGGAACAAUCGAAACUAGAGUGUUCCAUCAAUAGUAAGUCGAAUCCCAUAACAAGGAUAUAGCACAUUUCAGGCACUCAUCAGGUGUACAGGAUAGUUCAUCGAAGACACGAAUGGUAUUAUUGAGCCAAAAUCCAGCCCGUUCAGCAUUAUCACUAGCUGUGGCCCUAAAUUCUUCAGCUCCGUAUUUUCUUAUUUUAUCAAUAAGAGGCUUAUUCAAUCUCAUAGGAUUGAUAGUUGGAGGUACCACAGGCAUCGAAAGUGGGUUAAUCGGGGUCGAAAGUUGUUGAAUAGCCAGAUUUGUCUGGAUAUAUUGAGUAAACCAUUCAUUCAUCAUAGUAUAGAAAACUUGUUUAGCCUCAUCACCAUGGUUAUUCGUAUUCGGUCGAGAAUCAACCGGCUCCAUCCCUUGCACGAGAGCAGGCGCUAUACUCUCGACAUCAUCUACUACAAUUCGAUCGGGAUCAGGAUCCAUUCACUAUAUGAAAAACACUUUUUUUAUUGUCAGAAGUCGUUAAACUAUCACAGUAUAAUAAAUGGCAUGUAUAGCUAAACUCAUACACGCUACUUUAGUCCUAGAAUUGACUAAAUCGUAGCUCUGAUACCAAUAAAAUGUAACACCCUUAACCCGUAUCCGUCGCUGAACUAGGGUUAUUAGGUAUUACAGGACAUAACAUGACUCGGAAUAGUCACAAAUUAAUUUUUUUUCAUUUAUGCACAAUAGUUGAACACAUAAUAAAACCAAACAAAUAAACCAAACAUAUUUAUUAUCUAUAAUUCUUAGUCGAAUUCAUCCUUAACAUGGUAAGAUAUUUAUUAACAUUAUAAUAAAACAUAUCAACCAAACUAAUUAUACACUUCACGAUUUAAAUUUUUAUGCACAUAAUAUGCCAUGACCAAAUUAUUAUAGUUCUAACAUUAUGAGCACAUGAUUAAAUCUAAUAUUACAUACAACUUUCAUACACCUGUACUAUUAUUCAUAAAUACUAAACUCAAAUUAACCUAUGUAUAAAUCAUCAUAUCAUAGCCAAUUAGAUUGUAUAUAUAUAUGUCAUUUUUAUCAAAUCCAACUUAUACACAAUCACUUAAUUUCAUUCAAUACAUACACAUUUAGCAUGUAUUUUACCUUAAAAUCAAGUCAACCACUCUAACAUCACAUGUUAUAUCCAUAAUCCAAAUAAUUAAGCCGAACAUACAAUUUACUUAAUCAUCUCCAUCCAAUAUGUCAAAAACAAGAAAACAAAAUAUAACAUAUUAACAAUCAUACCAUAGUAGAAUAUAUGUCAUACCAAAAUCCAACAAACUAUGCACAAAAUAACAUGAACAUAUACUAUAUCUUAGGCCAUUAAAGCAUAUGUAAUAAUACCAAAUUCAAACCAAAAGAGAUAAGUCAUUUUCACAUGGCUAUUAAUUACACCUGUAUACAUUGGUUCCAAAAUCAACAUUUCAACCACGCUAUACAUGCCAUUUAUUCAAAUACGACUUAGUAAAGUACCAAAUUAUGGAUGAUAGUGUGACAAGCUUUACAGACGAUCCCCGAACACGUAGCGAUCACCGAAAUCUAUACAUCAAAACAAUUAUCCAACACAUUGUAAGCUAAUUUAGCUUAGUAAGUUACAAGCAAAUAAACUCUACAAUUUAACUUGAUAUCUCGAAUAAUAUUUAACCAUUUCAUACUACUAAAUCAUCUUACCUUUAGCUUACCAUAUCAUAAGAUAAUUAUUAACUUAAUACUAUGAUUUAACUAAAAUUAAUAUAAUUACUCAACCAUAAGCAUUUCUUUAAAUUUAAAUACAAGGCCAAAUACAUUAUGCAUCUCAUCAUCAUGUAAUAUAAAGAAUCAUCUUAUAUAUAUUUGAUUCUAAAUAUAAUCACCACAUGGUUUAAUACUUACAAAGCUCAACCUUGAAUACAACCAUAACAGUUAUUACUCAGGAACUCCAAGUAUUUACUCAUUUUACUAAUCAUGAUUACUCAAUAAGUCAAAUACUCAAUGCUAAUAGUUAUUCGAAAAUAUUUAAUAAGUUCGCACACUUAGUGCUUAAUAAUCAAACUCGCACACUUAGUGCUUCACAAUUAAACUCGUACACUUAGUGCUAAUUUUUUUAUCAUAAAUUUUUAUACCCGCACAUUUAGUGCCAAAAGUCAACAACUCAAUACAACUUAUUUUAAUAAUUUAUCACUACGUGUAUAUGGUAUAUAUAUAUACCAUUCAAUUCAGCCUAAUUACAUAGAUACUAAGAUGUUUUAAAAUGAUACAAAAUAUAUGCUUAAUAACUUACCUCAGAUUUCGUCGACUAAUAGAUCGGCUACUCAACUACUUUCGAUUUCCCCCGAUCUAAAUCCGAUUUCUUGGUUUCUUGAUCUAAACAUAUUCAAAUAAAUCUCAUUUAAACAUAUUUUCAUUCAAUUUAGUGUAAGAACACAUAAAUAGGAAAAUUACAUUUUUACCCCUAAUAUUUCACAUUUUUACAAUUUAGUCGUCAUUGCACAAAACACAAAAUACACAAAAUUUGGCCACACUCCCUAAGGGCCGGAUCUUCCUAGUACCCAUAUAAGUCCAUACAUUUCAUUUAUUUCACAUUUUAGUCCUUUAAAAUUUUAUUUUUGCAAUUUAGCCCUAAUUACUCAAAAUCACCAAAAACUCCAAUACAAAACAUAUUAAUCUUUAACAUAUCUUUCAUUUUUCAUCAACAACUAUCAAAAAGCUCAAGCACUCAUCAAUGGCAAAACACAAAAUCAACAUCAAUUCAGAAAAUUAAUACAUGGGUUUUGAAGUAUUCAAAGUAACGAUCAUAAAAAUGUAAAAAUUAUCAAAAACUAAAAUCAAACUAAACAUAAAUUGAAAUCCCUAAGAUGGCCGAAUGCUAAAGCUUGAAGAAAAAAAGUUUCUUUCUUUUGUUUUCGGUGGAAAAAGGUGAAUAAAAUGACUUUAUUUUAUAAUAUUUAUGAUAUAAUAUACAUUAUUAUUCUUUUACUAUUUUGACCUUUGUAAAAUAAUAUUUAAAACAUAUAAUGCAUGGCUUUUUAGCCAUCUUGCCAUCCACUAUCUUUUAAAUGGGCUUAUUGCCCUUUUUAGGACUUCAAGUUAAAAAGCCAUUACCACAUAGGUGCUUUACACUUUAACUAACAACUUUUACAUUUUACGCAAUUUAGUACUUUUAUCAAAUUAAACACAAAAACGGCCAAAUAAAUUUACAAAAUUUUCACACAAUCAAAUUCAAAUAUCACAGACACAGAAAAUAAUAUUAAAAUAUUUUUCAGACUCAGAUUUAUUAUCCCGAAACCACUGUUCCAAUUAGGGUCAAAAUCGGGUUGCUACAAAGUUAGCAGCUAAUGUUCUUGAUUUUCAACAGCAAAUCCAACAGUAAACUCUUAAUUUCCAAAAAGAGAUGAAGGAUUUCUAACAGAAAACUGAGGCGUCCAUCAGACCACAUCGAUCGAGAAAUUGACCUCUCAAGGAAAGCUGCCGUCACAAACAGAACCAAACCCUAGACAAAAUGCGAAUAUAGUGACGUUGCGAAGUGGAAAGGUACUAGAACCGAUUCCUGACAAGAAUCUUGGCUAAAAAAUUUCCCAAGAAAAACCCGAGAAAGACGAACAAGUCCAACCGAAGCCUCUAUUGCCUAAAAUUCAACCUCCAUUUCCAGCACUAUUCAACCAGUGUUGAAGAGGUAAAGAGGACAAGGAAAUCCUCAAAACAUUUAGGAAUGUCAAGAUCAACAUUCUGCUGUUGGAUGCCAUCAAGGAAAUACCGCGAUAUGCUAAAUUUCUUAAAGAGCUUUGCACCAACAAGCGAGAAUUAAUAGGUAAUGAAAGCAUGAAUGUUGGUAAGAAUGUAUCUGCAAUGUUACAACAAAAAAUGCUAGAAAAAUGCAAGGAUAGGGGUAUGUUUGCAAUACCAUGCAAAAUAGGCCAUCUGGGAAUUAAAAAGGCUAUGUGUGACCUAGGGGCUUCUAUAAAUGUAAUGCCAUAUUCUAUUUAUGAAUCACUUAACGCGGGUUUUUUUAACAAAAACAAGUGUUAUCAUUCAAUUAGCGGACAAGUCUAUUGUGCAUCCAGAAGGAGUCCUUAAGGAUGUUCUGGUAAAAGUUAACAAGUUUAUUUUCCCUGUAGAUUUUUAUGUGAUCAAAAUAGAUAAGGAUAGCACUCCUGGAUCUUCAAAUCUUCUGCUAGGUCAAUCGUUCCUUAGUACAGCUAGUACUAAAAUCGACAUUCGAAGUGGAACUCUCACGAUGGAGUUUGAUGGGGAGAUCGUAAAGUUUAAUGUCUACGACGCCAUUGCCAUACAAGGGAAAUCUUGAGCGUAAAUUGUAUCAACAUAAUUGACACUUUAGUGGAAGAGAAUUUUGAGUCAAUUUAUGGAGAUAAUUCUGAACUUGAUGAAUUUGAAUUUGAAUUUGUUAAUGAGUUAUUAUCUUCAAAUACUAAACUGUCACAUUCUGUUCUACAGGCACCAGAGUUGGAGUUGAAACCGCUUCCUGAGCAUCUGAAAUAUGCAUUUUUAGGGAAGGGUAAUACCCUACCAGUCAUAGUCUCCAAUAGACUCUCCAUAGAUGAAGAGGAAAUUUUGGUUCAUGUACUAAAAAUUCAUAAGGAGGCGAUUGGCUAGACCAUUGCAAACUUAAAAGGGAUAAACCCUUUGACAUGCACACACAGGAUCUACUUGCAAGAAGACACGAAACUGAGGUGAGAGGCGCAAAGACAGCUAAAUACAAAUAUGAUGGAGGUAGUAAAAAAGGAAAUAAUCAAGCUUCUAGAUGAUGACGUAAUUUACCCUAUUUCUGACAGUAGGUGGGUAAGUCCAGUACAAGUCAUGCCCAAGAAAACGGGUGCGACAAUAAAGAAAAAUGUUGAAGGUGACUUGGUACCUUCUACAUUGAUUAUAGAAAGUUUAAUUCAUACAGUAGAAAAGAUCAUUUCCCUCUUCCUUUUAUAGAUCAAAUGCUUGAAAGAUUAGCCGAAAAAACUCACUUUUGUUAUCUUGAUGGAUACUCAGGUUUCUUUCAAAUUCCAGUCGCACCGGAGGACCAAGAAAAGAUCACUUUUACAUGCCUAUUUGGUACAUUUACGUACAGAAGGAUGCCAUUUGGUCUUUGCAAUGUGUCGGCCAUCUUUUAGAGAUGCAUGAUAAGUAUAUUUUUUGAAUAUGUGGAAAAAAUUAUCAAAAUUUUUAUAGAUGAUUUUACUGUAUAUGGGAGUUGUUUUGAUAAAUGCCUUAAAAACCGAACGAUAAUUUUGAGUAGGUGCAUAGAAUUUAAUCUUGUCUUGAAUUAUAAAAGUGUCAUUUUAUGGUAGACAAGUCUGGGUCAUGUUGUUUCAUCUAAAGGAAUUGAGGUUGAUAAGGCUAAAAUUGACAUUACAAAUUCUUUGCCUUAUCCCUCCACUGUGAAGGAAAUUCUUCUUUCAUUGGCCAUGUAGGGUUCUACAGGCGCUUCAUAAAGAACUUCUUGAAGGUAGCUGAACCACUGUGUGAGUUGUUGCAGAAGGAUAAGAUAUUUGAGUUUGGCCCAAAAUGUAAGGAGACAUUUGAUACACUCACGUAAAAGUUAGUCUUCGCUCCUAUAUUGCAACCGCCAGAUUGGAAAUACCCGUUUGAAAUUAUGCGCGAUGCCAGCAAGCACAGUGUAGGAGCCGUGUUAGGGCAAAGGAUAGACAAAGAACCACAUGUCAUAUGUUAUGCCUCGAAAACUUUAGAUACUGCGCAGAGCAACUACACCACUACGGAAAAAGAACUCUUAGUCAUUGUAUUUGCUUUAGAUAAAUUUUGACCUUACUUAUUGGGAUCUAAAGUAAUUAUUUUUUCUAAUUAUGGAACCCUCAGGUACUUGAUCGCGAAGAAUGAAGUAAAACUGAGGCUCAUUAGGUGGAUUUUGCUUAUCUAAGAAUUUGACAUCGAGAUUCGAGACAAAAGGGAAUGCUAGAAUUUAAUGUUUGACAACUUAAGCAGAAUAAAAGUACCUUUUGACGACAUCCCUAUAAAGGAAGAAUUCCCUGAUGAGAGCCUAUUUUCGACUGAAGAAUGUCUCUCAUGGUAUGCAGAUAUAGUAAACUUUCUAGCCACAGGAUCAUUACCCACUGAGUUAGCCUAUUCCGUGAGGGACAAGCUUAGACGCGACCCUCGAUAUUACAUUUGGGAUGACCCAUACUUGUGGGAACACUAUUCAGACCAGAUAAUAAGAAGAUGUGUUCUAGAAACUGAGGUAACUUCUAUCCUUAAUUUUUGUCAUACUAAAGCUUGCGGAGGUCACUUUGGCCCUAAGUGGACCGUUCAUAAGGUGUUAGAAUGUGGGCUAUAUUGACCGUUCAUAGGUCACUUUGGCCCUAAGUCUUGCGAUAGGUGCCAACAUACAGGUAACAUCACUAAACAAAAUCAAAUGCCCUUUUCCCUGAUUCAUGUAUGCAAAAUCUUUGAUGUAUGAGGCAUCGAUUUCAUGGGCCCAUUUAUUUCUUCAUUUAGCAAUGUAUAUAUAAUUCUUGCAAUAGACUAUAUUUCUAAGUGGAUAGAAGCAAAGCCUACUCAAAAUGAUAAUGCCAAAACUGCUGUGGAGUUUCUAAAACGAAAUAUUUUUUUCCAGGUUUGGCAUACCUCGAGCCCUAAUCAAUGAUCGUGGCACCCACUUUUGCAAUAAGGUUAUAGAGGCAUUGUUGGCAAAAUACAGAGUCCACCACCGUAUAGCUAUGGCUUACCAUCCCCAAACGAACGGUCAAGUUGAGGUCUCGAACAGGGAAAUCAAGACUAUUUUGGAGAAAAUAGUUCGUCCUAACCGAAAGGAUUAGAGCCUUCGGCUAAAUGAUGCACUUUGGGCCUAACGAACUACGUAUAAAUGACCGAUUUGUAUGACCCCGUAUCGACUUGUUUUUGGUAAAGCUUGCUGCCUUUAUGUUGAAUUGGAACAUAAAGCCUAUUUUGUCGUUCGACAAUGUAACAUGGAGUUAGAACCCACAGGAAAGGCAACGAAAUUAGACAUCCAAGAGUUAGAAGAAAUUCGCAAUGAUGCCUACGAGAAUGCUCGUAUUUAUAAAGACAAGACAAAGUUGUUUCACGAUAAGAGAAUAGCUCAGAAGCAUUUUUCGGUAGGAUAAAAAGUUUUACUUUAUAACUCUGUGUUAAAGUUAUUCCCAGGUAAGCUUCGAUCAUGAUGGCAAAGACCUUUCAUUAUUACUGAAGUGUUCAUACAUGGAGCGAUUGAAAUAGAUAGUGAAGAAUCUGGAAAGCGGUUCGUAGUCAAUAGCCAGUGGUUGAAGCUAUUUUAUGAGAAUUUUCAAGCCCACACGAUUGAGAAAAUCCAUUUGGAACCACCAUAGAACCAAUAACGACGUCGAGCUAACGAUGUUAAACAAGCGCUUGUUGGGAGGCAACCCAAUUUUUAUUUAUUUUAUUUUAUUUACUUUAUUUAUUACUUUAUUUUAUUUUAUUAUUUUACAACUUAUUUGGAUAUUAAUAAAUUUCUCUUCUUUUGCUUAGAUAAAACAGAGCAAAAAUAUGAAGAAAAAGAAAAAACUAGAAAAAUAUAACCAAAAAGCCCUGUUCAUGGUAUCAAACAACCUCUAUUCCAGAUACUAGUCUAGCCCAGAAUGCCUGCAGCCAAACUACCCUAUUCCUGUAGCCAACCACCUUUAUCCAUGCACCCAAACACUACCUCUCAGUAUAAAUUAACCCCCCAACCCUAAAAUUUUAAAACAUUUUUUUCCAUUUUCCCACAAAACCACCAUAGCCGCCGCUCUUCCCUCUACCAUUCUCCCCCAUGCCGAACGACCCUACCAAUAAAGGCGCCCACACCUCAUCAGCCUCGACAACAGCCGUCCAAACCCUCGGCCAAACCUCCGCCAUCCUCCGCUCCUCCGUCUUCUGACCCGACUUGAAACCUUUGGCCAGCAACUGAGUGAGCUCAUUGAUAUCAUAUACGAUUGACAGUAAAUAACAUAGGGAGUUUUUCUAAACUUUUCUCCCUAUUUAUUUCUUUUCGUCCACAUUGAGGACAAUGUGCUUUCAGUAAGGGAGGUACUUUUAGCUAUUACUGUCAUUUUUUGCUAUGAUUUUGGUUGUUGUUGCUAUUACUGUGAUUAUUUUUGGCUUGUGUUGCUGUUUGAGGCUCCAUUUUGUCCAUAUUUAUUUUUUAGGAUCUCUUGCCUCUUUUCAUGCCCAAGAUUUUUACCAAUAAUUGCCUAUUGUUUGACCUACAAACAUGAUUCUUAUUUUAUGAGAAAAUUAUAGAUUUUCCAUAAUUGAUGUCAUUUCCAGUGAUGCCAUUUCCAAUGUUUUAUUCUUAUUAGGCUAAAAAUAAUUGUGAUUCAUAGAGUUAACUUUAUCUUGUUUUUCUUAAAAUUGAUCAAGUUUAAUACAAAGUGGACACUUAAUAUGUUUGCAUGCUAAAAUAUGUUCAUGACUGUUAAGGUAAUUACUGAAACUUAUUUUUGACACUUGAUUGUUUUUUUUCUCUAAAGUCCUCAUAAAAAAGUUAUUAUUAAAAUGUCAUUUAAUGUUUCCAUGGUUAUGAGUGCAGCUUAAAAACGUGACUGAUUGAGUAAUCGGGGUAGGGUGCUUGGGUUGUCAUCCUAUUUCGCAUCAAAAGGUUGUGUGACGUGUUAGGUAAAACUCUGCUAACCGAAAUUAAUUUUUAACAUGUUGGAACCGGGGUGGGGUGAUUGACUGUUAUCUCUCUUCGCGUCAAAACGUUCGAUGUGUUCUUAAGAAAAAUUAUAAAAAAUUAAGAGUUUGCUAGGCUGAGUAACCGGGGUGGGGUGCUUGGUUGUUAUCUCUCUUCGCGUCAAAAGGUUCAGUAUAUUCCUAAAGCAUAAAAAAUAUAAAUAAUAAAUCAAAAUCAAAAUAAAUAAAAAAGAAAAAAAGAAAAAGAAAAAAAUAUAAUUUAGGGACUAAAAGAGGAAACAAAUAGUUUGUCUUGGUAGGUUUGGUAAUUUACCUAAUUUUCAUUAAAUAAUUCAAGUCGAUUCUAAUUUUUGUGUGUAUUAAUUGGAAAACUUUUUCUGUUUUACUUAAAGCAAGCUUAGGGUUCUCUUUAUUUUUCAUAUGCAUUUUUGACUGAUUUUUAUAAAACUUUGGAGUGGUAUUUCUUUUAUGGCAGAAUCUAACUUUCACAGUAGAUAGGAACCAUAUUUGAGGGCAAGCAUGGGCUAAGUAGGGGGAAUUUGAUAACACUAUAGAAUAACAUAUUUUUAUGUAUUUAUUCUGAGUAUGAUCCUACUAAUUUGAGCUAUUUAUGCUCUUUUAUCUCAUAGGGACUAAAUUUGAGGCAAAAACAAAAUUAAGGGCCAAAAGCGUGAAUUUAGAGAUAAAAUAGGUCAAUGUGCGACACAAGGAAAAGUUGGUGCCAAAAGUGCAAGCAUGGAGGACACAAGGGUUGAAAUGCAAAAAGAAGAGAUUUUAUUAUAUCAGACUCUAUUUUAAUUAUAUUAGGAUAAUUAAUAUUAAGAUAAUUAUUAACGAUUAUUUAAUUUUAGGAUUUUAUUUUAUUUAUCUUUAUUUACCUUCAAUUAAAUGUAUUUAUCUGUUGGGAGUUUAAUAGGAUUAGACAAUCUCCCCUAGCAAUAUAAAUAGGGGGUGAUGUGAUCAAAAGGGAUCCAUCUUUUUCUGAAAACACUCUCUCCCCAAAAGUCUAGGCUUUUGUUCUUCUCAUAUUUCCUUUCAAUAAAAUCUCCAUUUUUAUUAUAUUUAUUUUCUUUUCCACCACAACCAUGAGCCACUGAACCCAUCUAGCCAACAGUUGUCGAUAUUCCCCAAAAAGGGUUCUUGAGACUUAGAGUCUGUACCUAGCUUCCUCGUUGAGUAUUCAUCGUUUCUCCGCACUACAAGGCUGAAGCUUCCGUCCAUGUCCCUUAAGAAGUAAGCUUUUCAAUGUAUGCAAAGGUGACCGCUUUGUAUGUUUUGGAAAGCUUGCACAGUCGGUUCGUUAGCUUACUGCAUUAGAGGCUGGCGAGCCCAAGAGACAAAAUGGCGUGGGAUUCACCAUUGAGAAGUGUUGAUCUAGCAUAAGAUGAUCCCACAGAAGUGAUUGUUGGCUAGAGUCAGGUUCCACGAAAUCGUAAGUCUAAAUCCUUGGAGUUGGUGGUCGUAGGCGUCCUCUUCCACUAUAACUGUCUUAUUCGGUUUGAGAAGGAUCAUCUAAAAGCCAAGAAUUAAACCCAAGGCGGAACUAGACAACUGGAGCCUGGAACCUCCCACAAGAAUUUCCUUUCUCUCAACUCUAUUUUUAAUUUCUCGAAUUUUCAAUUCAAUAUUCUUAAUUCUGUUUUUAUUUUAUUUUUCAUUUCCAGAUUCAAACCUUUAAUUCUAUUUUUUUUUUGUUUUUUUCAGGAACGCAGGUUUUCUUGGGCAAGAUUUUAUCUGGGAUUUCACGGAACAAGAUAUUGUGCAAAUCCAGUCCCUGAGAAUUUGACCUUACUUCCCUUUUACUAUUCUUUUUCAUUAUUUAUUAGGGAUAGGAUAUUUUUGGUGCUUUCAACGACCGCAUCAAUUCUAGUAGAUUGGUUCACAAUGUAUGAUAUGAUAGAGCUUUGUAUCUCAAUCCCAUAGAUGCUAUAGCAUCAAGGCACAAUCGAAACUUGUCAAUCUUUGAUCCUAUUUGUGGAGUCUAAAAACUCCAUUGGCAAUAUACAAAAUAAAUUAUUUUAUUUUUUUACUAUUUUACUAUACCCCUAGAGAACACUUGUCAAUCUCUUGACGUUGCUUAUAGAGACUAAAAACUUUAUUGGUAAUGUACCAAAUAAUAUUCCAAAUAAAAAAGCAUUAACUUGAUAGUGUAAUUUUUUUAUUCCACAAGCAUUCUUAAAAAAUUAACAUUUUUUUAAUUUUUAUUUGUUUAAUAUUUCACUAUACUCCUACAGGACAUUUGUCCACCCCUGAUCAUGCUUAUAAAGUCUAAAAAUUCUAUUAAUUGUGUCUUGUUAUAAAAUAAAGAAAGAUGGAGAGAAUAAAGAACAAAGAAAAUAUGAAAGCAAUAGAGAAUGUACUUUAUUGAUCAAUUGGGAUGAUUACAAUGCUUCAUGAGAGUAUCUAUUUAUAGACAUAAGAAGUAUAAAAGAAGUAGAGAUCUAAUUCUAAUAACUAUUAGAACUUAAAGUACAUUAAAACUUUAUCUUGAUCAUGAUGGACAUCCACUUAAUAAAAUAUUCAUAACACUCCCCCUUGGAUGUCCAUUGGUAGAUAAUGUACCUCGUUAAAACCUUAUUAAGAAAAACCCUAUGGAAUAAAAACCUAAUGAAGGAAAAAGAGUACGCGAUCUAUAAUACGCAUAAUAUGCUGCCUUAUUAAAAACCAUACUAAGAAAACCCAAUUAGACAAAACCUCGGUUAAGGGAAAAAGAGUACAACGUGUAUUUACUCGCCCUCAUGAAAACAUCACAUACUUUCUGAUAUUCUACAUAUUCAAUCUUGAAUACUAUUUUUUCAAAUGACUAUUUGAAUGUAUCGCUAAUCAUUUAUAUCACCAUUCUUUUAAAAGUCAUGAGUGAGGGAAAUUUGGGGAAAUAUAUUUUGAUCUCUUCAGGAGAUUCAACAAUAAUCAUAACAAAAUUUAACCAUUUCUUUUAUAAAAACAAAAAUAGGUAUUUUGGAUCAUUUUAUAAUCCUCCUUCAACUACUAUUCACUAAGUCAAAUUUACCACAUAAAUUCAAAUUAUUUCAAUUCAUAUAAAUGAACAAUUUCUUGAGAAUUUCAAUAUGCUUCUAGUAUCCUAAAUCCUUAAAAGAUUUUAUUAUAAACUUUACUAUAUAGUGAUUCAUAAAAGGUUGUAACAAUAACCAUUAGAUGCAAGUUAAAUAUUUUAAGAAUUUUCAAUUUAAUAAUAUAUCUAAAUAUUAUUUCAUCCACCAUAAAGUAAUAUUAUAUCUUUUCAUAAUCAAUGCUAGGACUUAGUGAAAAACUUCAUAUUUUUAUUCCCUUUUUGUAUAACUACUUCAAUUGAACCCUUACUGGCUUUAUACCUUUAGAUAUUUGGACUAUUGGUCAAAAAAAUCCAGAAAUUUAAUUGUACUUGAGUUACGUCUUUCUAUUUUGAUGAAUUUAUUCCAUAUUUAUAUUUCUCAAUAAAUUUAUUCAAGAUUCUCCUUUUAUCUCAUUAUUUCAAUAGUAAUAUUGCAUGCAAAAUUGUUGUCGACCAAUUUUAUUAUUCAGUUCCACAUUUUCUCGAAUUGACGUAACUUAUCGAGAUCUCUUAUUUUCAUUAUUUUAAAAUUCAGUUUCAAAUACCUGAAUUCCUAGAGCACCCGCCUCCACUAUAUGACCAUUUAGAAGAAUUUUCAUUUUUGGAACUGAUCAAUCUAUUAUUUAUUCUAACUGACUCUCCUACUGGGACUUUGAUUCAAAUUAAAAUACUAGAUGGUAUAUAACACUUGGUUAUUCUCAUUAAGUUUGUAAAUAAUAACACUUGGUUAUUCUCAUUAAGUUUGUAAAUACAUCUAUAAUUAACUUGUAAUGAGCUAUCCUUAUUGAUUUUCUGGUUCAAAUUACUCUCCCCCUAACUCAUUACAAGUUAUUAUUUCUCUCCCCCUAAUGUCUGGAAAAGUAUCAAAUCAAAAUUGUAAUAAAAAAUCAUGUCAUAAUUGAAUCUCGAAUACAUUCAAAACAUCUAAUAAUAUAAAGAAACUUGUAAUUAAUAUAUAUUCUCAUCUUUCUUUGAGGAUUCACUCAUCUCUGUGCGUUGUGGUGGAGCAAUUGGAACAUAUACGCACAUACAGAAAUACAAAGAUGAGAAAUAUUUAGUUCUUGAUCAAAAACCAAUUAUAAUGGGGAGUAUUUAUAACUUAUUGGCUUGAUGCGUACAACACAUAAAUCAACAUAAUCUCAUGUUGAAAUAGAAAGUUUAAUUCUCAUAAGUAAUGAUUUAGACCUUAAUCAAUAGAAUUUAAUCAAUAAUUUCUCUAAACCAUUAUGCACAAACUUUUACAAAAAAAUUUCAAACUCAUGAUCAGAAAUUAAUUAUUUAAAUGAGCAAUCUUGCGAACAGGUUGCAAAUUGAUAACACAUAUGUGAUUAUUUUGUAGAUGCCUGCUGAAAUCAUAUCAUAUUAAAAUCAUCUACAUGGUGGAUGAAUGAACCCGUAUUCAUUAAAUCUCAACUUUAGCUAGUGAGUUUCUAAGAAUCAAUUUUCAUUGAGAACAAGCAAAAAUGAUAUUUUUUUAAAUUAAAGAAUCUCCUGGUUCUUUAAUGGAUGUCCAUAUGAAUUCUCAAUUAAUUUUCGCAUCAUAUAUGAUCUAGGAUGGUCUAACUAAUCAUGCCAAGUAGUAAAUGCAUUUGUAUCAGUAAACUUCUGGUUUACUUUAACAUGUGUUUCAAUUGUACUAAAUUGUAACAAAUUAAUAAUUUCAAUUGUACUUAAUUGUAAUAAACUAAUAAUUUUACUAUCAUUCCUUUUACUUUAUAUCCUCAUGAAAAUGCUAUUGUGACAUUUACUACUAAAAAUGUCUAAAUCAAUGUGAAUAUUAUAAUGUCACUAAAUCAACAAAAUAAAAUAAUUUCCAAAUAAUUAUAUGCAACAUUCGCUUCAAGGAAUAUAGCAAAAUCUUCAAAUGUAGGGAAUUUACUACAUCCACGUUAAAGAUUAUGUCUUUCAAAUUUAUUAUACAUUGCUACAUUCUCUUUAGGGAAUGGUUAGGUUUCAUGUUUAAAAACUUUUUUUCAAUCAUAAGUAAUAUUUCAAGAUAUUGCUACUGUAAGAGCACAUUUGGAUCAUGAAAAGUUGAAUAAGUUCUCUCUUGCAAGGUUCUCAGCAGUAAUAUUUUUCCACGUAAUUUUAGUUGAGAACUUAUUUUGAAUACUGUAAAGUUAUACUCACAGUUUUAAAAUUUUGCAACUUCAAGUGCAUCCAACCAUAACGAGCUUUAGAUAGAAUUACCAUAUUCUACUACUCACAUUUUUCUUUUAAAUUAUUCCAGAAUUGAUUUAGAUCUUUCACAGUCAAAUAUUUUUCUUCCAACCCCUUAAUGGGGAUGAUGACAAAAGAAGAUCACAAAGAUUAUAAAAUAAAUAUAAAUUAAUAACUCAAUCCUCUCUUUUUUAUCCUUUCAAAAUAGACAUCUGAUACCAAUUAUAGGGUAUAAAGGGAAAUGCGAAAGUCUAUUGAUUUAUUUAUUAAAGAAAAUUUUUACAAUGAGAGAAUGGUAAAAGAAAAAGAAAGAUUUCUAAACUAUAUUUCAAUGCCUUCUUUAGGCUUCCUCUUUCUCUAUUUAUAAUUGAAUUCUAAAACUCUAUUUAAUUUUCUUUGAAUCUCACACAGUUUUUUGUUAAGGAUCCUGUCUCAUCAUGAACAUGGUUUCUUCCACGUUACAUUGUCUUGUCAAGUCAUUGAUUUAAUGGUUGCUUCCACUUCAUUGUCUUGUCACAUUAUUGAUUUAAUGUUUGUUUCCACAUUGCAAUCUCUUUUGUUUGCAUCUGGAUGCCUUCUUUUUCAAGUUGUUUCUUGAGUACUUUCUUUCCACUUGUCUGCAUGUUUUCACUUUAUCCCUAUUGGAUAUUAUCUAGAUUCAUUUCUUGUAUGUCAUCUAGAUGUAAUGAAUGUAAUUAAAGUUUUGGUGAUGAAUUCCAAGUCUCCCACAUGCUUUUGAUUUCUUCUAUAAUAUGAUAUAGAAAAUCUUCAAUCUCUAUUUUGACUAUCUUUUUUAAUAAUCUUAUAGAUUCUUCAUCUCUAUUCUUCUAGAUGUUUCUAGUGUCAUAUGCCAAUAUUCUUCUUCCAUCACUCCAAAUUUUAUAAAUUUCUUGCUGAAGCAAAUAAAUUUCUUGAGAGGUUUAUUUACAAAGUUGGUUAACAAGACUAUUACAUAUUGCGAUAGUCAAUGUGUCAUACAUCUCACCAAAGAUCAGAUGCAUCACAAUAGAACAAAGCAUAUAGACAUUUGUAUCAUUUUGUUCAGGAAGUGGUUGCUCAAGGAGAUGUUUAGAUUUACAAAAUCAAUAGAGAAAACAACCCAGUUGAUAUGAUGAUAAAAAUUCUUCCAAUUUUCAAGUUAUAAAAUGCUUGAACUUGGUAAGCAUCUGACAAAGAUCAAGUUAGGCCCAUAACAGGGUUCAAAAAAGAAAGCUUUUUCAAAAAUAUGAGUCAAGGUGGAGAUUUGUGGGGUUUGCCUCGCAUUUCGUCUGAAACAGAGUCUAUGUCGUGAUAAGGAAUAGCCAAUGUCCUACCGGAGCAACAAAUGAUGUCCCGAUGAGAAGAACCCGUCGUCUCGAAGAUGCGACAUGUAACGUCCUGAUGAACCAAUAGCAACAUCACGACAUGGCGACAUGUUCCCUACUAAAUCGGAUUUCUUUUCCUAAUUAAACUCUGAUAUCUUUUCUAGUCGAACUCUAAUAACUCUAGGGAUAUUCUAAUCAAGUUGGCCACAAAUUUUAACCUAUAAAUAGGGCUUUUAAAACACUAGAGAGAUUGAUUCAACAACAAAAGUAAGAGAGAGUUUUUGUGGGAAUUUUUGGAGAACUUUGUAUUUUUUUGGUUCAGGCUUUUUCUUUUCUCCAUCUUGUACUGCUCUUCGGUAAUUUGCCUGUUUAGUGAAGUGUUCUUUGCCCAUGGUGUUUAAUCCUCUUCGAUGGGGGUUUUCCACGUAAAUAUUUGUGUGUAAUUUUCUCAUUUUUUGUUCUUGUUCAUUGCACAAUGUAGGUUUAACCCAACAUGAAUCUUGAUUAUGACAUGGUGGAAGAAGUGCUGGGAAUUGAUUUGAGAGUUUUACAUAUGUAUUGAAAUAUUGACAAGUUUAAAUUGCAGGUGGGUUUGAAUGAAACUAGAGGAGGUGCUAUCGAAAUUUUUGUUAAAAAUAAAAAUUCUAUAUUCUUAAAUUGAUUAAAAAGAAUUAAGUUUGAGUUUCUUCGACAACGGAUUGUGACAUUCUAUAUUUGAAUCUACCAACUAGAUCGAUUGUAGGGUGUCACAAAAGUAAAAACUUUUGAAGAUAUUGAAGAUGCACUUUAGUCAAAAGUAACUAUAAAAAAAUUUGAAAAAGAAAAGAAACAUCAAAACGAGGAGGGGGCAAGCUCAUUGAAUUAUUAGCAAAUUGAGAUGAUCAAGUAAAUAAUCAAUGAACUGAUAAAUCUUGAAACCAGGGAUAGUACUGGGGUAAAUAAUUAAUAUAUAACAAUAUUUAAUUAAUUUAUAAUAAGGUUUUGUUUGUAAAAAAAUCAUAUACAUUAUUUAAAUUACAACUCAUCAAAAUUACAUUUAUAAUUAAUUUAAUAAUUUUAAAUGUAAAUAGUUUAUUUUUAUUAUUUAUUAUGAAAUUAUAUUUUUCUAUAAUUAAACCUUUUUUAAACAUUUUUAUUUACAAUUAAUUAUUUUAGUUAGUCAAUAAAUUAUGAACGAAUCUUAUAUAUUAUAAAUGUAACACCCUUAGCUCAACCUGAUCGCCGGGUCCAAGCUUCGAAAUGCUACAGCCAUUGCAGGAACAACAACGAAUAGUUAACAUCCAUAUUAAAACAUAAAUCAUACAGUCAUAAUCAUUUCAAAACAUAAUCACUUUAUAAGAUCUUUCUCAAGUCUUAUACUAGCAUAAUUAUGCUUUAAAGUUAACCUGGAAUCAAAUUAGGACCAAAAUUUAACAUUGUCAAAAUUCCAACGUGACAUUGCAAUGUGAGGGGGUUCCUCAUUGCAACCUAACAUAAUAACUUGGGCCUCGUUGUGGCGAUAAGGUUCAUCAUCACGCUGUGCCUAAAACCCAAGUCUCAUCGCGAUGGCCUAUGCCCACGUCACGACGUGGACUCUUUUCUUGGCACAAAAUAGGCCUUUUGGUGCUUAAUCCGAAUCAACUACACCAUUAAGACAUUUAGUGCAUUAUUGCACCUUUGUACCUGCACAAAACCAACCAAAAUACAUACCAAUACAUCCAUUUAACCAUUUCACACAAUCAAACAAUACCUCAAUUUGGCAACAAAACAUAUUCAACAACUUGUUUAAAACACAAAUUAGCAUUCAUGCCCUCAAGCCAUUCAAAACAACAUUCAAUCAUGCCAUUUCCAUGUUAAACUCAUACUAUUUGUACAUUCAAAUAAACCAUUCAAACCCUAUACAUAUGGUCCAAACACAUGACCAAAAUCAUGCCUUGAUAUAAGUGUAAGCAUUAACAUCUCAUGAUUUAUAUACUAUCCCAAAUUCAAAUGAAACAUAUAGUUUCAAUCUAACACACUUAUAGCACCCAUGUACAUUCUUACAAUAAUGAGUUACAAAAUUAACAAAAGGCUACCGAGUUGAUAGAGGGAUGGUGUGAGCUUUGUGAAGUCCAAUCAAUAAGUUCCGCAAACCAACUAUCUACAGAGAAAGAAAAACAACUAGAUAAACCUUUCUAAUGCUUAGUAAGUUCGAAGGUAAGAAAAUGGUAAACUUAUCUCGAUUUAUAAAAUAACAUAUCAAACUAAAUAAUUUGGUAAAGAUGACCUAACAUAACAAAUCACAAUAAUAAGGUCAGCUUAAAUACCAAAAUCCAUCACAUAUGUACCAUUUUAUAAUAUAUAUAUAUAUCAAUACCUAGCAUUUGAGUGAUUAUACAAGAAUACUAAAACUUAAUAUUCAAUUCAUACAGUAAUACACGUUUAAUUGUCAAUUAGAUUUCAAAUCAUUUAUAUUUCCCAUUACUUAUUUCCCAUAUUACUUGAUGAAACUCAAUAAACAAGCUCAAAUACAUAGGUACAAAUCACAUCGGAGGCUCAUUUGAGCUAAACAUAUAAUCGUGUCAGGUUACCAGUUCGGGCUAAAUCUUUAUAUCGACAUAUCAGAGAGCUUGGCCAGAGCUAUAUAUAUCGAUACGGGAUUCAAGAGGAAUAAGCGGAUCAGGAUUGAAUUCAAGUUGUUUAACUCAAGAAGGAAAGAUUUGGAUAUAGUCUGAAAAGAAAAAAUAAACAUAUUUAGUAAUAAAGAAAUCGAAAAUAGUAAAGAAGAAAUUUGAGAAUAAAAAAAAUAAAAAGCAUAAAUAAAUAAGAAAUAGAAAUUAAAAAAAGAACAAAGUGGAAGAUGGACGAGUAAAUCGAUGGAUAUGAUGGAUAGAAGGAUAAACGUCCAAUUGAACCCUUUGAGAUAUAAAUCCCAAUAAACUCAAUUAAUGGCUCUAAUCAACCCUCUAAGAAUUAAUCCUUGAAGAAUGAAUUGAAGGAUGAAGAAUGAAUUCCCACGACUUCUUCAAGAAAAUCAAGAAUAAAACUACUUCUAAAAAUCACAAGAAAGAAAUCUUGCAUAAAAAAAAAUCUCAGAGUUGAAAUCUUUAUUAAUGAAAACAAUUGUCUCCUUAAUAAAAAAUGAAGAAGCCUUUAUAUAAUCUAGCUAAGUACAUCCAAAUAAAACUCUAAAGUAUACUGAAACUCUAAUUAAUCUAAAGAAAAAGUAGUUUUAAACAAAACUUUCUUAUUAACAUAAAACUCCUAAAUAACUUAAAAUACUUAAUAGUUAUAAAAAAAUUGUAAUAAUCAAAUAAUAAGAGAUGAUAAAUACAAUAUUGGACUCAUAUAUAAUAAAAAUUAAGCAAAAAAUCCGAACCAAAUAUGAUUUAAACUUGAGUUAAAAGCACAAAACUCAUAAUUCCCGUCAUAAUCCUGUCCAAAAAUUCUACUCCUGCAGUCUUCACUAAAAUGGUCAUAAUUUGAGCUCCCAGACUCGAAAUCGAGUGAUUCAAAGUGUGUUUUGAAGCUAAGAGAUAGAACUUCAAACGCCAUGAAAUCUCAACCUGAAAAUGCCUAGAUCCCAUUCAAAAAGUCGAUGCAAGUAUGCUAAUUUCCAAAACUUAAAAAUUGACAGUUUGGGUGAAUGGAAUUUAAUAAAUUUCUCCCCAUCCGUGCAUGUAUCACAUAUACAUAUCAGGUUAUUCGUUUGAGCUAAACCUUUAAAACAAAAUCAGGUUACCAAUCCAAGCUAAACUUGUGUCACAUGUAUCUUCAAGUCCGCAACAAAUGUUGGAUUCUUGAAAUUAUCUGAAAUCAACCUGUAACCAUGUGUAUGAUACAUUUACAAAGUUUCAUCAAUGUAAUUUGCAUCAUGCAAGUUUAUAUUUAUUCUUUUUUUUUUCAAUUUAGUCCAAAUCUCACACUUUAGUACUAAAUUACAAAUAAUUCAAAGUUUAAUAAAACAUACAUGUAUUCACAAUAUUGCAUACAUAAAGGGUUUAAACAUAAUUGCACCAUAUGAACUUACUUGGAAAAAUGACAGUAAACACAAUAUCGAGGACUAUUCUGUAAUUUUCUCUUUCCCACAACUAUCCUCCGACUGGUUGAAAUCUCGAUCUAUAUCAUAAUUUAAUUCAAAUAUCAAUUCCAAACUUCAUUUAACAACCUACUAUAACUAUGUAUCAAUUCAAUUUCAUCUAUCCAUGUUUUUUAUUUUAUUUAGUUUAGUCCCUAAAAUUAGAAUUGUCAUAACUUUCAAAUUAGAGCCUCGAUUUUGAAACUCAAUCUCGAUUUCAUCUUUCUACAGUCCUAUACUAUCUAUAUUUACAAAAAAAAAAUUCAUGUUAAUUUCAAAAUAUUCACCCUUUAGUCCUUAUGUUCAAAACUAACAAUUUUCACGUUACAAACUAGUCUUUUGUUUCAUAUCUAAGCUUAGAAUCUAACAAUUUAACACCAAAAGUUUCAAGAUUCAACAAUAGAAACUUUUAAAAACUUUACAUUUUUGCAAAUUGGUACACAGGUAGCUCCCAAAACCUCAAAAACAUAAAAACUACAAUAAAAUGACUAAAUUAAGCUUACCAAUCAAGGAUCGAAAGUCUUUUAAAGCCAAACCCUAUCUCGCUCGUUUUCAUGAGAAAGAAGAUGAUGAAUGAAGAAUAAUAAAAAUUUUAGCUUUUGUUUAAUUAAUUUUAAUAUAUAACAUAAUUUAAUUAAAAAUUUUAACAUAUAUUCACUUAAAAGAAAACAUCAACCAUCCACCACUAUUUAAAAAUGGCCUAAUUGUCACUUUCAACCGUGGUUCAAUAUUAUGUAGCCUUUUUAUUAAUAAAAAUCAAUAGUGAUUAAUUUUUACCGCUUUAUAAUUUAGUAUUUGUACCUAAUUAGUCACCAAAUCGGUGAAAUUACCUAUCCAAAAUUCAAUUCACUUAUACAAUAACUCCAUAAAUAUUUAAUAAAAAUAUUUAAGGGUUCGAUUUACAGAAAUGAGGUCCCAAUACCUCAUUUUUCAACACCACUGAUUUAAGGGUUGGAACACUUGUACUUUAACUAACUAUUCAAUUAACAAAUUUUUCAAACCAAAAUUUAAUAUAAUAUUAUAAUCUUGAUCAUCAGAGAACGGGGUUCUAAAACCACCAUUUCCAGCACCACUAAAAAAUAGAUUCCUACAAUAAACAGCAAUUAAAUUAUUAUUUUUGUAUGUAUAGUUAUUAUUAUGUCAAAUUUUUAUUUUAAACUUAUGGUCAAUUAAUUAUUUAGAUUUAAAAUAUCCUUCAAAUGAUAGCAUUUUUUACUUUGGCAUAAUGAUAAAAAAUUAACCCCUAAAAGUUACUGCUUUUGUCACUUUUGUUUUUAUUCUUUUUCUUUUUUUGAUCACUUUGGCCCGUAGCGUUCAAAUUUUAGUCAAACUGCAUUUCUUUAGGUGAAAAAAUUAGUUGAACUAUUAAAAUUUUAAUGGUAUCAACAUGACAAUUUGCAUGUUCUUCAUAAAAAUUUAAAAAAUUAUUAAAAUUAUUAAAAUUUUGAUAAAGUUUAAAAAAUUCAGUAAUUUAUACUCUAAAAAGAAGUACAAGUAAACUAUUAUGUAGGGUACAACAUUAGUAUCAUUAAAAUUUUGAUAGUUCAACCAGUUUUCCAUCCACAAAAAAUAAUUUGACUAAAGAUUGAAGGUUGAUGACCAAGGUGAUCCAAAAAAAUAAGGUUAAAGUAACAAAAUGGAUACACAUUAGGGGUUAAAUUUAUCAUUAUGCCUUAAACUUUUUAAAAUAAAGAUAAAAUUAUUUUAGUAUGUAGUGAUUUAAAAUUUUAUAAAUUAUAUGAAUUCUUUUAUGUGUUUUACCAUAAAAUUAUUUUAUAUUAUUAAAUAUUGCUAAUAAUAAAUAUAUUAUAUAAUAUACACAGUAAUAUCUUUCACCUGCAACAUACGUGAGUUAAAACUACUUCCAAUUUUCGCAAAAAUGAGACAUGUCCAAAGCAAUUCAAUUAUUUAAUCAUUUGAAACUUGAGUCUUCACCCACUUUGAGACAUUUUGAGGAAACAAAUUAGUUAUAGAAAUAAUUAUAAAAUGCAUAAAUAAAAUAAAACAAGAUGUCAAGAAAUAAAUUGAAACAACGCAUAUAGAUUAAGCUCCAUCUAUUGUAAUUUAACACUAUAUUACUCUCGAAACUAGGAAAUUUAGAAGCAAACUAUUUAAAAUCAUACACCAUCGAGCUGCUUUAGGUUCAAAUGAUAAUCUGAUUACAUGCUUAGCGAGCACCUUCUUCAAGUUCAAAUGUGAUUUUGUUAUUUAUGCUAUCAUACCCCAUCCCUAUCCAGCUGCUUGUUACACCAUCAUCGUAAGUGCUGGGAAACUUACCAAGCAAGUAUUCGGAUUCUUCGCUUACUAAAUUACUUUUACUCCAAGGAUGUUUAGCCAUUGCUUGCAGUCCUGCUAAUUCAUGGGCAACUUCCUUCAUUGUUGGCCUUUCCUCUCCCUUCACUCUCACACAUCUCCUAGCUAAAGUUGCUACUUCCAUAAGCUGCUCAACAUUUUCAUCAUUAAGCACUCGAGGAUCGAGAAUGUCGAGCAAACGGUCUUCUUUCAUCAAAGAAGUGAAGUACAUUGGCAAAACUCGAUUUUCCGGUCUUUUGAAACAUACCACUUUUUGUCCUGUUAACAACUCCAUAAGCACAACCCCGAAGCUGUAGACAUCACUUUUUUCAGUAAGAAGGCUUGAAAGCAUGUAUUCAGGAUCCAAGUAACCGAAAGUUCCUUGCACAAUUGUAGUUAUUUGUGCUUGGUCAGAUGGGAUCAAUCUGGAAGCCCAAAAUCAGAAACUUUUGCGGUGUAAUUGUCAUCUAACAGUAUGUUCGCCAACUUGUUGUCUCGGUGAAUGAUUGGAAUGGAAGCUGCAGAGUGCAAAUAAGAAAGGGCUUCUGCUGUUUCAGUGACUAUUCUCAAACAGGUCUCCCAUGAAAGAUAAGAGGUAGCAUCAUCAUUAUGCAAAUGGUGAAAAUGGGUUCUGUUGGUGAUAUAUUCAUAAACUAACAGCGGAACUUGGGUCUCCAAACAACAUCCUAGGAGUUCGACAACAUUCCUAUGGUUGAUUUGGUAGAGCACCAUUAUUUCAUUGAUGAAUUGUUCAACUUGGCUAGGAUCUCCAAUUAUUGACUUUU